GGAGUUGUCCGUACUCUAUUUAUCCACUUACUAUUUGCUUAAGGAUGCUUUCAAAUUUCAAAUGCAGAUUGACGAAGAUGAGAUUUACUGGAGACAUCGAAAGGAAGAUGGAGUUGGAAUGCUCCCGUAAUUCCACUCGCUUAAUAUCUCACUUAGCUCAAUGUUUUAGUGAGUACAUUUUUCUCUUCAAGGUUCUUUGCAUUCUUGUAAGUUUCAUCUUUUUUUCAAACCUAGAAUCACUUACAAACCUCUCAACCACAAAAUAUAUUCUUUUUUUGUUAGAUAAAUGUAUUGUCUGACUCCAAUAUGGCUUGAACUUCCUCAGAUCUUGAGAUUCUAUGUUGUUAGUUAUUUGUCCGUUGUCACCUUUGACCUUCCUCUAUUCUAUGGAUUGAACUAAUUAAUUGGUUCUUCGAUGAUAACCCUCUUUGCCACUGGCAUUCUUCUCCGAAAUUCUCCUGGUUUGGUUUUUAUAAUUUCAUACCAUAAUCAGAGUUACUUUUUAUUCUUUGUCCUACCUAUACAACCUGCAUCUAAUUUUUGUUACUUAAUAGGAUAAAAUAUUAGAGCAUUUACCUCAAGAUCAAGAAAAUGUUACUACUUCAAGUGUUUCAUCGAAUGUAUUUUCUCAUCCUAAUGAUGUAAUUGGAAAAGCAUAUGGAGCUAAACAUUCAAGUCGAGUGCAUGGUUUGGACAUUGGUAUUUGUUCCUCAAGUAUUUUUGGAACGUCUAGACAUUCUAUUGGUUUUGUGAAUUCUAGUCGCUCUAGUCAACAUGUUGAAAACUUAAAGAAGUAUGUUCAAAGUUUGGAGAUAAAACUAUCAGGCUAUAAAGAGACCAAGGAGCAACUUGCACAUACUCGGAAUCGAUUAGCUACUCUUGAGAAGUUUAUAGUCGAAAAAUUUGAUAGUGAAUUAACCACUUUCGCUCAUGAUGUUCCACCAUCUUAGUUAUGAUUUAUUAGAUACUCAUGAAAUUAUUAGUUAUGAUCUUCAUAGUUUGCAUUUUGUUUUGUAAGGAUUGUUGAAUGUUAAACAUUUGGUAAUUAUAUCAGAUUCACUUUUCUAAUGGUAUAACACUUUUAUUUUUGUUAUUAGCUAGCAAAUAUUUAAUUUUAUUAAAAAUUUACUAUUAUAUUAUUGAAAAUAAAGAUUGCUAGAUUGUGAAAAAAUAAACAACUUAGCCACGGUUGUAGUGUGGCAAAGUAGCAACUUUGCCACGGUUGUUACUGUAGCUGAAUUAUACAGACUGUGGCUAACUAAAUGUUACCACAUUUUAUACAAGCGUGGCAAAAUGACAUAACGACCGUGGCUAAUUUUUAGCAACGCCAUUCCUUGCCACGACAGCAGUAAGUGUGGCCACUCGAUCUAGCUACGGUUNNNNNNNNNNNNNNNNNNNNNNNNNNNNNNNNNNNNNNNNNNNNNNNNNNNNNNNNNNNNNNNNNNNNNNNNNNNNNNNNNNNNNNNNNNNNNNNNNNNNGUAUUGAUAAUGUAAAAUAGGAUGGUAUGCUUCAGCAAUAUGACCAUAAAUGUGAAGUGGAUGCCAUAUGCCAUGCUUUAUGAGCAUAAUUGCCUUGAUAAAUGGCAACAGUAGUUCUUUAUUCAUACUGUAAAUUCAGAAUGGCUGUGGCCUAUCACACAGACUUCUUUCUAACUUAUUGUAUAUCGUAGUAUACAUUAUUAUUUCUCUGGUAUUGUAGUUUGAUUAUGGAGAGUGAAAUGUAAUAUAUUUGUUGGAAUUAAGGAAGAGGAUUUGGUUAGCGUUGUUGUUUAUAAUUCUUUUCAUAUAUGCAGAUUAUGCUAACAAUAAUAACAAUAAAGGUGCAGGCUAGUGCACGAGGCUCCCACCACCAUUGAGGUUUGUGGAGGGUAGAUAUGCUGCCUUACCCUAAUAAUAAUAACUAUUAUUACUUAAAUGUUACAUAAAUGUUAUUGGAAAUUCAGGCAUAUGUUCUCAUUCUUCUUGGUAAAUAUUAGGAUUAAUUUUGUAUUUGACUUUGAGGAUGCUAUUUGUAAUAAAUAUAUGUAUGAUACAUUAAGUUCAUUUCAAAAUGGGGCUGUUUACUUGGAUGAAUAACUUCCAUGACAUUCCUCUUUUUAAGUCUUGUGGCUUAUAUUCUCUUCAAUUCUACCGAGGAAAUGGGAACUUGUUUAUGCUUGUAUUAUUUAUAAUUUUCGUCAGGAUAUAUAUUUCUUCUCAUUUACUCAGUGGUAGUCUCUAUUGUUUUUCUCCUACUUGUGUUUGAGCCAUAUCAACUGUUUACUUGUUAAUAUGUUAUUAAAAAAAAUUCUGAUCCUUAAGAAAACAAUAUUUUGUAUAAGGCUAGUUCCUUUAUUGUUGAACAUGUUUGAUUCAAUUAUUUGUGAACAUAAGAGUGAGUGUGAUUGUUAUAUUCAGAAGCAUCUCUUUUUGCUAGUUAAAGAAACUACAGAAUGAUUUCUUCGUGUACUUCUCGAAUAUAUUGUAGGUAGAUUGAGGAGUUGUUCAUACUCUAUUUUAUCCACUUACUAUUUGCUUAAGGAUGCUUUCCAAUGCAGGUUGAUGAAGAUGAUAUUUUCUGGAGACAGAAAAGAAGAUGGAGUUGGAAUGCUCCCGUAAUCCCACUCACUUAAUAUCUCACUUAACUCAAUGUUUUAGUGUGAGGAGAAAGGGACUAAAGAGAAUUUAUGCUACUGUAAACCUACUCACUAUGGUGGAGAUCUGUGUUGCUUGUGCCAUAAACACACUAGGUCAGGGCAUGACCAUAGAGAAUAAUUGAUGUACAUAUUUUUCAAUCUUACAUGUGGGCCCUGAACUCAUUGCCGCAGCGUGUUGACAAUUUCUGUUUAAAUGAUUGCACAUUAUAUGAAAACACUUAUUCAUAUGUCUAUAUUCCUAAAAGGAGUUGCAUUAUGAUUACCCUUCAAAACAUACAAAUUUUAUAUUCAAAGGUAUUAUGGCAGAUAACUUGCUUUCCUUAGGGGAUGUGGCUUCAUUUCCCUUGAAAAUCUGCUGUUUUUCGUAAGGACAUAUCCGGUAUGUGUUUAUCUUUUAUUUUCCACACCUGAAAGGAUUUGGUCCACCUUUUUAUGUCUUCAUUUUAGUUUCUUGAUAUUUAGACCUCUUGGGAAAAAAGAUCAGUUAUUACUAAUUGUAUGGAAAUUCAAAUGAAGUCAUCUUUUCACAGGCUGAUGUUGAAGAAAGAUGGGAACCAAGCAACAUAUGGAUACUCUUUUACUGUUGCUGGCAUUAAUAUAUCAUUUAUGUUGAUACAAAUGUUGGAUUUAUGCUCAGGUUAGUGAACAACUUCACAGGUCAUUAGUUUCAUUGUUUCUGCUUGUAAGAGCAAAGAGAGGCCUAGUGCAUGUGCCUGGAAUUGUGGGUUUUGGGAAUGUACACAACUUUUACCCCAUAAGGAAAGAGGCAACUUAUAAAACUAAGAAUCCUUCACCACCAGAUUACAAAGAAGCAACCUCACGACAUAACAAUGUAAUAUAACACAUUUGCUUAUAUGACAUUGAUAACAAUAUAGUUUUAGAGCAGCUCCUUUCAAAAUUCUUACCGCAAUGGAUUUGGCCAACAUUAUUUUCACUUCAUAUAUUAAUAUUGAAAGGACAUUUUAAGAUGCAUUUUGAAGUUUCAGUUGGAGUUUUUCUAAAACCAGAGAAUUGAGAAGCCAUCUUCAAGUUCAAAAGGAAAUUGGGGAUAAAAAGUUCAUUACAUUAGAAUCUUGGAAUUGUGAUAAUGAUAAGGUUGGAAGGAACAUUUUUCAUAAAACAUAGGUACAUUUAUACUCACCUCUUUUGUUCUCCCUAGUGGUAACACUAACUCUAACUUUUCAUAAUGUACCCUCUGCAUUUUCUGUUAACCUUUAGUGAAGUCACUGAUUAUGAUAAUAAGAAGUAUUUAACAACACAAGUAUUUUCCCAUUAGUUGGGGUGUUACAUGAUCAAACAAAGUUGUUGUGCUGUAUCAAAUUGAAAUCUUCAAAUAUGUUGUUUUAAAUUGAAAUCUUAAAAUAUGUUGUUUUAAAUUGAAAUCUUAAAAUAUGUUGUUUUAAAUUCUUUUAAUGGUUUGUCCAGUUUUACAUUCAUCUUAUCAUCUUGUUAAGGGUACUUCUAUUUAUUUUGUUUUUGAUGUUGCCAGGAAGUUAAAGAGUGAUGAGAACCAAUGAAGUGAAGUUCCUAUAAGCUCAAUGGGAGUUUUAUAAUUAAUUAGUUAAGAUAAAAAUCCUCAUUUGGUAGAGUAGCACUGGAACUCUAAGAAGAAAGAAGUAAAGAUUUAUUUGAUUGUUAGGUAACAAUUUAUACACAAUAUAUUAUAAUACGUAUAGGUUGGUUCCAUAUGAGGUUGAGAGAUGAACAAACCAGAAAUGAGAUUCAUAUCAAAAGGCUAGGUGCAUUCAUCAUAGCCAGUAUCAUCUUCUUCUCUGGUUCCGCAGGGAGGCGCAACACUUAUAUUCUUUCCCAUAGGCUGUGUGUAGGACUCAUCGGUAUCGAUCAAAAUGGCGAUGUCAUCUUCAGAGAAACUGUAUCUAUUGAUAAGGCAAGUAUAUGCGUCUUCCACACAUUGUUUAUGCAUCCUAUCAAAACUGAUUUUCUUGCCAUUGCAGCACCACACUAAUUUUUGUGUUUUGUUUUUUUCCAGUGUUUUUUCUUUCUAAGGUUCAACUGUCUAAAUAGUUGACCAAGGAAAAUGCGCAUCUGGUUAGUUUUUUGUUGUAUCUUUUCAUUCUUUUAUUACUAUUUAUUCUUUCAAAAGUAAUUUAAAUUACUUUAUCAUUUUCAUUAUUUUUUUUGAAAAAUCAAUAAUGAUCAAAUAUAAAUAGGGAUGAUGCAUUAACAAUAUUAUAAAAUUUAUAUACUAUCGUUUCAUACAUUUUUUUUGGUAUUAUUUAUAUAUAAAAUUUAAACCUAACUGAAUAUGAAUAAUAGAUAAAACUAUCACAAUAUGCAUUUUCUUUUUCUUUUUCUUUUUCUAUUUCUCUUACAUGUUAUUGUUUGUUUCAGAUUUAUGAUUUACAUAUUGUAUGAUAUUUCAUAUGUAUGCACCAUUAUGUUAAAUAAUAAUAUUAUUGGCUAAUAAAAUUAAUUGUAUAAAUGAUCUAUUAGGAUUUAAUGCAUAUGUAUUUUGAUAGUGUAAGUGUUUUUAUGUUAAUAGUACAUCACUUACCAUUUGUGAAUUAAUUAUUAUUGAUUCUUGAACAAAAUUAAUACAUGAGUAAAGAAUAAUAUACUAACUAUAUAAAAAAAGUUUUACACUCCGUGUAAAUAUUAAAGUCAUAUUUUUAUCUAAUGAUUCACUAAAAUGUCACCUAUCCAAGAGAGUUUUUUUUGUCAUAACUAAUGGUAUAUCUUCACAUUAUAGAUGAUAAGCUAAUUUUUUGUGUGGUGUGUGACAGUUACUCCUAACAAGUAUUACUUCUAGAAAUUGAACUUUUAUUAUUCUGGAUUUUGGUGAGGAUCCAGUUGAGCCUUACACUACUACACCGGUACCUUAUUAGUAGGUUACAGAGGUUGAUAUAACAUGUAAUUCUAGAACUCAACUGAAUAAUAUAAUUACAAAUAUAGAAGGUAAAAUAAAAUAUCCUUACAAUUUAUAUUUUAAAAUAAAUAAUAUAAUCAUAAAUAUAUAAUGAUACCAAAUAUUUUUCUGAUAUGAUAUAAUUAUAAUAAUAUUUAUACAUUAAAAGAAUAUAAAAUAUCAAAGUAAAAUAGAUUGAGAGGAUGCAACUCAUAAUUUAAGCUUGAUUUGAAAUAGACAUACAUGGCAUGAAGAUAAAUUUUUAUUUCAUUAAUAUGUAAUAUUUUUUUGGGUAUAUAUAUAAAAUAUUAGAUUAUUUUAAUUGUUUGAUGGGAUGUAAUAUUAGAUUAAUAACCAUUAAUAAUUAAUAAUAUGGAUAACAAUUAAUAAUUAAUAAUGUGGAUAAUGUAAAUGGGUCAAAUUUUACAUCUGAAUAUUGCUUAUAAACGAAACAGACCAACCUUUAACUAUAGUUUGCAAUGGUCUUCUUAAAAUGCUAAUGGAACUCGAAGAGAAAGAUAUACAGAGAGAAAUAUUUUCUCUUCUCUCUUUCUCUUUAAAUAUAAAGAAGGUCGAUGUGUUUUUUAUUCAUACUGUAAAGUGGGAUGGUAUGCUUCGGCGAUGAUGUCCCUAAAUAGGGCAUUAUAAUAUUCACGGUGUGAAAGAAGAUGAUAUGGAUGUUGCCUAGAUGUCCCUAAAUGCUUCUUUAAUCAUUUAUAAUAUUAUAUGGUAUAGUUAGGACUGUUUGAUGGCUGAGUGCAAUUAUUAUAAUAUGAAAAUGGAUGGUAUUCCUCACCUGUUGCCUAUAAAUUAAAAUGUGGAUGUGACACUACUUUGCUUGGCUAGCCCAUAUACUUGCAAUUGCAGAAUGAAUUAUGAAUUCUCUAUGUAAAGUCAGGAUGAUAUGCUUGAAGUUGUAUAAGCAUAAAUGUAGAGUGGAUUAGUAUGUAUAUGUUUCCCUUAAUCCACUAACUGAAAUGGCAUAUUUGAGACUAAAUAAGCCUAAUUGCAAUGAAAAAUUGACUUCUAUAUUCAUAUUUCAUAAUCUUUAUAUUGGAUGAUGUCUUUGUGCUUGAUAAACCUAUAAUUGCAACCUAGGUAGUCAAUCUCGGCCGACCCCAAAACACUAUAGCAGGUAGUGGGACAACCGCUACAAGGAAGGAAAAGAUAUCUAAGUAGUUUAUAGCCUACAUAUAUAAAUACUAAAAUAGAUUAUAUUAAAGACACAUUCCUUAUUAAUAAUUAAGAUAAGAGUAUUAAAGGUUCUAGAGCUGAUCAAAGUUGGAUGCCAUAACAGAAUUGUAUCUCACGAAAUUGAACCACACGAAGAUGAUGUCAAUUGGGUUCAAUCAGUUUGAUAAGAGAAUCAAUAAAGAGAUAAUGGGGCAAAGAAUCAGGGACCAAUAAUUUUUUUUAAAGAAAAGAUGGAGAAUAUGUGAAUUAGGAAGCCUUGCAAUUUUGUUCCAUGCUGAUGAAGAACAUGUAAGCAAUUGAAGGUAUAACCCAUUAAAAAUCACAUGGCCUAGUAAAAUUAAUGUGUUAAGUAGAAGGGAAAGAAUGGGAGGUCAAAUUACCUAAAACCCUAGUGAAAAACCAGCCACCUAUUAAAAAGAAGAGCAAAAAAUACUUUUCUUCUGUAAAAUUAGGGUUCCACUCGCAAUAAAACAUGUAGCGGGUCAUGAUCCGAUAUUUGCCCUGCGAUGUUGCCGCUAUUUGACCUGCUACAGGCGCUACGGCCAUCUGCACCGCUAUCCACUAUGGCGUCGCGGGUAAUGGUUGAAACACUGCUACAGUCCGCUAUUGCAGUGCUAUAGCGCACUAUUGACUACCUAGACUGCAACGACAAUAAGAAUUCUAGUUGCCUAUAAUUUGUAAAUUAGGAUGAGGCCCCAAUUAUUUUAUCAUGGUAUGUUUGUUUUUCCUUGUGCCAGACAAUAGUUGAAAAGACUUAGCAUUUGUUUUAAUCAGUGCAUAUAUUCAAUUCUAGUAAUUAAUAGGAAACCAUAAUCUGCAAUUAUGCAUCCUAGUAUGUGUCUCAUUGUUAUCAGACUCAUUGAACACGUUUCAUGUUUGUGUCUUGAAGAGAAACUUCAAAGGCUUAAGGAAUAGCUGCAAGUACCUUAUGAUGAGACUUGCUCUGAUCAUCAAGUACUUAUUUUUUGAUGCAGCUAUCUUGAUUUCUUCUUUAUUUAAUUUCUUCGAAUUCUUUCUCAGUACAUGUUUUGAAAAUACAAGCUUCAUUUCUGGUUCAUUUUUGGGUUUCAUUGAAACCACAUUUUGCGAACAAUGUAAUUAAAUUCCAACAGGAACCACUGAGAACUUUGUGGCACUGUUUCUUUCCUAAUGUUUCUCUGAGUGGCUUGAUAUCUGAUUAUUGGAAAGAUAUUUGGUGGCAAUGUCCUAAUCCAUCAACCCACUUUAGGUAUACCGCUGUGACCACAUGAGAGUUCACAUGACAUUUUGGUCAUUCAUUGUUUUCCACUGGAAAGAAUAUGCUGAGUAGAAAUGACAAAAUCAGUACCACUGCACUGCUGCUAAGGUUUACUAUAGCAUAAAAUUUCAUUACUCUCUUUUUUCCUCAGGCUUAAUGAUUUCCCAAUUCAUGGAGCCAGAAUUAGACUAAAACCACUUCUGUCUCAGAAAUUUCAUUGUCCAUUAUAUCAACUUUAUUACAUAACUACUUGUAAUAAAGUAGCGUUUUUUGGUGGAGAUCUAUGUGUUGCUUGUGCCAUAAACACAUUUGGCCAGGGCAUGAUUCAUAGACUUAUAGAGAACAUCGAUGUACAGAUUCUUCAAUCGUACAUGUGGGCCCCAACUCAUUACUGCAGCGUGUUGACAAUUUCUGUUUAGUGAUUGCACAUUAUAUGAAAACACUUAUUCAUAUGUCUAUAUUCUUAAAAGGAGUUGCAUUAUGAUUAACCUUCAAAUACAUACAAGUUUUAUAUUUAAAGGUAUUAUGGCUGAUAACCUGCUUUCCUUAGGGGGUGUGGCUUCAUUUCCCUUGAAAGUCUUCUGUUUUUUGCAUGGACAUAUCGGGUACGCAAUUGUCUUUUAUUUUCCAUACCUGAAAGGAUUUGAUCCAUAACUUCUUGAUAUUUAGACCUGUUGGGAGAAAAGAUGAGUACUAAUUGUACGGAAAUUCAAAUGAAGGCAUCUUUUCACAGGCUGAUGUUGAAGAAAGAUGGAAACCGAGCAACAUAUGAAUAUCUAUUUGCUGUUGCUGGCAUUAAUAUAUCAGUUAUAUUAAUACAAAUGUUGGGUUUAUGCUCAGGUUAGUGAACAACUUCACAGCUCAUUAGUUCCAUUUUUUAUGCUUGUAAGAGCAAAGGGAAGCCUAGUGCAUGAGUUUCCUGGAUUGUGGGUUUUGGGAAGGGUCAUAUGCACACAACUUUACCCCUUAAAGAAAGUGGCAAUUUCUAAAACUAGAACCCUUCGCCACCAGACUAAGAAGAAGCAACCUCACUACAUGAUAAUGAUAAUAUGAUUUGUAAUUAUCAAUACAUUAGAUGUCUUUAUUUCCAUGCUUUACACCUGUUUUUAAUCAUUCUUUGUUUGGACAGAUGGAUAUCAUGUUUUUCUUGUAUGUAAAAUUGAAAUGACAAUGUUAUAGGCAAAGCAGGGACACCCACCCCACUUGUUACAUCAACUUUGAUUACUCUGCCAUGUUAAGCAAAUAAUAAAAAAGAGGUCCCUUUGAUUACUCUGCCAUGAUAUAUUUUACAUCUUCAGGUCUGGUCUUCAAUUUAUAUUGGAAUUUUGGUUUGUCUAUGUAGUAACUGCUACAGGAAAAUUCAGCCUAACAAACAAAAUAGGAAUGAUAGGAAGGUUGAAUGAUAAGAGGAGAUGACUUGAGUGAAAUCAUAGGUCACCCCUUUUCUUUCAAAUAUGUAUUUCUCUUUUUUGUUGCUUUUGGAGUUUUGGUUUAAGAAAGAGCUAAUGGAAAACGCUUUUGCCUGAUUGCACUCAUGAGAUUGAGAAAGCGUAAACGAUGUUUUCCUUCAUGCUUCUCUCUUCACAAAGUAAACUCAAUAUUGUUUUCUCAUUUAUUCCUAAUAAAGAUGCUAAUAAUGUAGUUGUCUCAAAGGAAUUUAUAGAUUAUGACAAUAGCUUCCUCCUUUUAUCAACAUGUAAUGCAUUGAAUAUAUUAUCAUGUGAGUUGACUUGCAUUUCAUUACAAUAAGUUAUUGACUUUGGUAGUAAUGUAUGCAAUGUAGUCUUAAGUAUAUUCUAAGCUUGAUAUCUGAUCAAUGGAAAGAUCUGGGGUAGCAAGGUCCUAAUCCAUCAACCGACUUCAGGUAUACCGCUGUGACCACAUGAGAGUUCACACGACAUUUUGGUUAUUCAUUGUUUUCCACUUGAAAGAAUUGCUUGGUAGAAAUGGCAAAAUCAGUACCAUUACACUGCUGCUAAGGUUUACUGUAGCAUAAAAUUUCAUGACUCCCUUUUUUCCUUUGGCUUAAUGAUUUCCCAAUUCAUGGAGCUAGAAUUAGACUCAACCACUUUUGUCUCAGAAAUUUCAUAGGUUAUUAUAUAUCAACUUUAUUACAUAACUACUUGAGAAUAAAGAUUGGUAAUAGAGUUUUCUGGUGGAGAUCAAUGUGUUGUUGGUGCCAUAAAAUUUAUUAUCCGUAUAUACUGAUUUAUACAUUGUUUUCGAUCUAGAUGAACUGAAGUUUAAUUGGCUAUACAAAGUUAUAGAUCCUGAACUUUGUUUUGGGUUGUGAGAACUGAAUCUAAUCUGAAAUUGCAUGAGACCCUAGUUGCAUAUAGUUUGAAAUCUGAAUGAGACCCUGAUUUACUGGAUCAUCUUAUAUGAAGUUACAGUAUGAAUUCUGCAUUCUCUGUUCAUAAUCUGAAAUGGUUUGGUUUCUUAAGUGUAAUUGUAGUAUUAAUUUUUUUAUUCAUAUCAUAAAUUGAUAUGGGAUGUUUGUGGCCAUGAUUUCCCUAAAUAAAAUUGUUAUAUGGUAUGCUGGAAAAGCAUAGGAUAUGGAUUAUGCCUUGAUGACCCAAAAUGCAAAUUGCAGUAUGAAUUGUUCGUUCAUAAUAUGAAUUAUAGAUGGAGUAUUUGAGUUUCUAAAUGCAAUUGUAAUAAGAGAAUUGUUCAUUCAUAAUAUGCCUUGCUUUUUCAGAUGUAGAUCUACAAAAAAGGGUUGCAUGCAUGAAGAUGAAGCAGGUGGGAGAGAUAGUGUAAAAUUAUAGAAAACACUAAAAAUGGCCGAGAUGAGAAAGUAGGCAAUGGAGACAGGCUUAGGUUGUGUAGUUUCAGGUUAAUAUGAGCUGGUGUGGUGGUGGAGAAAGAGGAGUGUGCUGGAUUGGUAGUUGUGGUAAGAGACAAGGUAACUCAUUUACUUGUUUAUUUUUGUUUUAUAAAAUAUAUCAUAUAUGAUUUAAGGAUUGAUAUGUUAUUUUAAUGCUAUGUUGUUUUAUGUAAACGAAAUAGAUCUGCUUAAUUUCAUUGUGUCCAUUCCAUCGAUUUAAGUUGGUAAUCAAAAUUGCUUCCAAAACCCUAGAUUUUUCUUGAGACAUUUUUUCCGUUUAUGGCGAUAAUGAUAUUUUCCUUCAACUAUGAUGUUGUUGGAAAGUUCUUUCGUUAUGGCAACAACUUAUGUUUUUGGUAUAGUUAACGAUGUUGCUUCAUUUGGAGGGUGCUAUUUUAUGAAGUUAAAAGAGGAAUCAAUUAUUGGAGGCACAAGCAUAAGAGUAAACAAUAUUAGGCCAUAAGGUAUAUAUCUACUUAUUUUCUUUUAUUUCUCACCAUCCAUGUUUUUUUACAUGUAUGAGUCCCACAGGAAUAUUCAAAGUAUAUUUUUCCAAAGGGUUAAACUAAUUCAUGUGCUAUAUGCUUUUGCUGUAUCUGUCAGAAACUCAGAAUGGGUCCACACCGAAGUAUACUAGAUAUAUACUAUGCAUGGCAAGUAACCCCAAUUCAUUAAUUUAUAUGAAGACAUUACCCCUGAGAUUGCAUUAUUAAGUUUUUAAUCACAUGAGUGCAUAACAACAAAACACUGAUAGUGGAUGUCAAUAGUGCUCAGGCAUGCUUAUCUAUUUCCAAAAGCAACAAUAAGAGUGGAUGCCCCUAGUACUUAAGGCAUUGCUUAUCCAUUUCCAAAAGCAACAACCAGUACUUACAGAAAAUUUUACAUCUCUCAUCCCACCCAUUAACCAUCUUGGCCGAUAAGAGUGGUGAUAUAGUAAUUCAAAAUCAAAGUUUUAUUUGGUUUCACACCUCAGUCUCUCUGACAUCCUCAUUUACCUUUCUCUAUAUACCAAUAGGUCAAUUUUCACCACUUAUCCUUUUUUGGAAUCUCAUAAGGGCUGCUCCUAACAGAAAAAUGAUUAUGUUACUUUUUUAACUAUCAAAUUUAUACAUGAUUAUUUUAUGACCAUUGAUAAUGAUACACUAUUUUUUCAAAGAAAAAGUAGUUUUAUAAUAAAAUAUGCGUUAAUUUGACGUGAAAAAGUUAUGCAAAAAUAAAAUUAUUGAUCUUAACACACGCCUAGAGGACAAAUCUUUUAGGUUUUCAUUUUUAUAUGUGGCAAAAUUAUUUAAAAUCCAUUCAAAUUCAUGUUAGAACUAAUAGAUUUAAAAGAUUUAUCCAUUAUAUCCAAUGGAUAUCCAAUCCAUCCAAAAAUAUAAUAAAAAUAUUCUUUUCCCAUAAAGUAAUGUGCAUACUCAACUUUGCAAUGCAAACUCAAAGUGUAAAAUAUAAACAAAUAUUAUUAAUAUUGUACCACUCAGAGUAUUGAUGAAGUAGUAUGAUAGUUCAACUAGUGGUUCACUAUUAAACUGUAUAUCAGUGAAUUUAGAUAUUCAUAUAUUUUAUAUUAAUAUUAAUGUUAAUUAAUUAAUAAAGAAGACAAUAAUUAUUUUUACUUAUAUUACUUGUUAAAAUAUAUAUUGUAUAUCAUGUUUUAGAUGUAUAAAAAUAUAGUAGUUGUAUGUUUGAUCAUGUGUACAAAUAUUUUGGUAAUAACAAUAAAUAAUUGAUGAUAUGGACAAAAGUUAAUAAUUAAUAAGGUGGAUUUAAAAAGGGUGUGAAAUGUAAGUGGGCCAUUCAUCUGAGGCCCAUUUAAGAGGCACCAAUAGUAUUGUGUCAAUUUUACGUCCUAACUUGCCUUUAAAAAGACAGCUAUGUUGUUUUAUGUAAACGAAAUAGAUCUGCUUAAUUUCAUUGUGUCCAUCCCAUCGAUUUAAGUUGGUAAUCAAAAUUGCUUCCAAAACCCUAGAUUUUCUUGAGACAUUUUUUUCGUUUAUGGCGAUAAUGAUAUUUUCCUUCAACUAUGAUGUUGUUGGAAAGUUCUUUCGUUAUGGCAACAACUUAUGUUUUUGGUAUAGUUAAUGAUGUUGCUUCAUUUGCUUCAUGUGAACUUGUUUGAUUCAAUGAUUCGAGGCACAAGCAUAGUUCAUAUAUUGUUGAACAUAUGAGUGUCUUCUAGUAUCUAUUCUGAUCGAGGUUAGCUUCAUUGGGCACAUAUUUAGGGGAUGAAAAUUCAGCUGUCGUUUCUGUAUGUGUAUUCUAUUUUAAAAGUGAGUUUUGUAAUUUGAGCUUGUAGUUUGAUUAAACAGUUUGUAAAAGGACAAGUGUUAUGAAGCACAGUUUUGAUAGGAAAUAUUUGUGAACCAAUAGUAGAAGUCUUUACUGCAUAUGCCAAUGCAGGUUUCUGGUUGGCUUAUCACACUGACUUCUUGAUAACUCAAUAUUUGGCCACUAAUUUUGUAGAAUACAUAAUGAUUUUCUAUGUAUUAAAGCUUGAUUAUGGAGGGUGCUAUUUUAUGAAGUUAAAAGAGGAAUCAAUUAUUGGAGGGACAAGCAUAAGAGUAAACAAUAUUAGGCCAUAAGGUAUAUAUCUACUUAAUUUCUUUUAUUUCUUACCAUCCAUGUUUUUUUACAUGUAUUAGUCUCACAGGAAUAUUCAAAGUAUACAAACUUGUUGGAUACAGUCUAACUCGUUAGGUUUAUGAACUAGCUUAAUAUAUAUAUAAAAACUAAGUUUUAUGUUUAUUAUGAUUCAUGCAUUAUUUUUUAUAUUUAUUUUUAUUAUAUAUAUAAACAUGGUUAUAUUUAUAUGCAUAAAACUUUUUGUAGUAUUUUUAAAAAAAUUAGUUAACUAUUUAAGUUGUCCAAAUUAAUCAAUCGAGCUGAGUCGAAUAGUUCGCGAACUUUAGCUGAACUGGACUCAAGCUAAUAAAAUAACUCGUAUCGAACUCGAGUCGAGUUUUGAGCCGAACCAAUUUUUAUCGAGCUGAACUCUGGUUCGACUCAGUUCAGCUCGUUACUAGCCCUAGUUGAUUCUAAGGAAAUAUUCUUUUUUUAUUUAUUUUAAUGUGAGUAAAAUGGUCAAUCUAGUCACUAAUGUUUAAAGUGAUAAAAAAGCAGAUCGACUAAUUAAGUGGCUUUUUGACCUGUUGAAGUUGUUUUCUUCCUUUUCUAUAAUUGGAUGGUUCGGGCUCACUCUAAUUCAAAUAACAAUGAAAUUGUUUUGAUAUAAAACAUAUACUAAUUUUUAUUUUGCACUUAACUUAUUCUAUGUACUUCAAAAUUUGACAUAAAAACUUGGCAUAGAAAAAUUGUAAAUUAGGGGCGGCUUACCUGAAUCAAAAGUAUGAAUAAACACAUGUGAAAAUCAGUAGUCUCACGCAAAGAUUAUAUUGAUGUAGUUUUAUGAAACUUUGAAAUGUAUGGGGAAUUUAAACAAAUGUAAUAUGGAAAAUGAAAUAUUAAGAGUUUUAUACACUAUCACUUAAUCAUUCAUAAUUAAUUAUUGUUGAUUCUUAAAAAAAUAAUUCAAAUCAAUAAUAAAUAAUAUUAUUAUUGUGUAUAAAUUAUUGUAUUUAGGAUGUGAAAUGUAAAUGGACCGUUCAUCUUAGCCCCAUUUAAGAGACACAAGUAGUAUUGCAUCAAUUUUAUAUCUUAACUUGCCUUUAUAAAGACAGCUAUGUUGUUUUUACGUAAACGAAACAAAUAUGCUUAACUAUAUUUUGCAAUGGUUCCUUAACACAGUAAUGUGAUAGUGAGAGAGAAAUAUAGAGAAAAAGAAUUUGAUUUCUCUAUGCCUUUUCGUCGUUUUAUAAUUGCCUCGUCUUUCUCCUUUUUCUCUAUAUGAUGUUGCUUCAUUUCAUAUUUACAAUUCACGAGUAGAGUUGAAAUACAUAUAAUUUAAUUUCUCUGUGUCCAUCCCAUCGAUUUAAGUUGGUAAUCAAAAUCGCUUCCAAAAUCCUAGAUUUUUCUUGAGCCAUUAUCUCGUUUAUGGUGAUAAUGAUAUUUUCCUUCAACUAUGAUGUUGUUAGAAAGUUCUUUCGUUAUGGCAACAACUUAUGCUUUUAGUAUAGUUAACAAUGUUGCUUCAUUUGUUUCAUGUGAUGUUUUUUGUAUAGAAAGUGAAAGAAAGCAUAUGAUGACUUCUUUAACCAUUUCUGGCCCUUUGUUAGUGAAAUAUCUCUCUUCUAUCUAGUUCUUUAUAAUUUUUUCAUCGUAAACUAACAAAUUAUCUCAAAACUCUAAAAAUCAAUUUUAUAAGCAUAUGUUGUUUCACUGUGUUUUUGCAAGGGUAGAAAUUGUAGAAUCGGGAAAAAAAUGAUUUCUUUAUGUCUUUUCCCGAUUCUUUACUGACGCAUCUCUUGAUUUUUAAUCUAUGUAUUUCUUUACGAUUGACAUAAGGAAAUGGUCUAUUUUUUAGCUUGCAAGACUGUCUCAAAAUCCCAAAAGUAUGUUGUGACAACAAUUUAUUUAAUGUGUCGGUAAUGUGAUUUUGCGAAUCCCGAUCUUGAUUAUUCAAGAAUGUUUGAUCGUGGUGAACUGAGAUUUUUAAUUGACUUUAUUACAAACCCAAGAGUUUGAUUUGGGCUGCGAAAACUACAAAGUGCAUGCAAUGUGAAUUCUAGUUACCUAUAAUUUAUAAAUUUGGAUGAGACCACAAUUUGUUGGCUCUGUACGAAAUUGCAAUAUGAAUUAUGAAUUCUCUAUUCACAAUGUAACAUCAAGAUGCUGUAAAAGUAAAAUUAAGCCUCUUUAAUUCAAUUGCGUUAUGAAUUUUUAAUUCAUAUUGUAAAGUGGGAUGGUAGACUUUAGCCAUAAUGUCCCUAAAUAGGGCACCAUGAUAUUCACGGUGUGAAAGAAUAUGGUAUAGAUGUUGCCUAGAUAUCCCUAAAUGCUUCUUUAUUCAUGUAUAAUACUCUAUGAAUAGUUAAGACUAUGUGAAUAUUAAGUGCAAUUAUUAUAAUAUGAAAAUGGAUGGUAUGUCUGACUCUAGUUUCCUAUAAAUUCGAAUGAGAACAUUACCCUAGUUUGCUUGGCUAGCCCAUAUACUUGCAAUUGCAAUAUGAAUUAUGAAUUUUCUAUGUAAAAUCAGGAUGAUGUGCUUGAAGUUAUAUAAGCAUAAAUGCAAAGUGGAUGGUAUGUAUGUAUUGUCCCUUAAUCCCCUAACUGAAAACUGAAAUGGCAUGUUUCAAACUCAAUAAGUCUAUUUACAAUGACAAUACGACCUAUUUAUUCAUAUUUCAUAAUCUUUAUAUUGGAUGAUGUGUUUGUGUUUAAUAAACCUAAUUGCAAUGGUGGUAUGAAGUUUUUAUUCAUAAACUGAAUUUUGUAUGGUAUGUUUGACCCUUAAUGCCUUUAUCACGUCAUACUAUUUGGAUAUUUCUCUUCACAUCUCUUAAAUUCAGUUGAAUGGCUUUAUCAUGCCUUGUCGUGAGGGAUAGUGCGCCACUUGUUCUUACCAUGUUAUAUCAGUAAAAGAAGUGAGAAUUACAACGACAUUCUUGUAGAGGAUAUGUUGUAUCCUGACACUCGCUGCCCUUUUUGGGUUUCAUUUAGAAAUGCAAAAUCUUGUAAAUUGAGCUCAUAGUUUUAUUCAAUUAUUUAUGAAUAUAAGCUUCAUGAACAUGGUUUUGAGGACUACAUAUAUUUUUAGAUUAGUUUAACCUACGAUGAUACAUCUGAUGGAUUAGCAAGAAUCAUUAUUGUACACAGCCUGCACAUAUUUCUGAGUGGCUUAUCUCACCGACUUCUAUUUAUAUGGAGAGUGAGAUGAAAUAUCCUUUAUGAAGUUAUGGAAGAAAAGUUAGUUGUUAUUGUUGAUGAUAUUUUUCUUCAUCUCCGUAGACUAUGCUAAUAAUAAUAUGUAUGGUUGGGAUUUCAGGCAUAUAAUCUCAUUGUUCUUUAUAAUAUUAGAGAUGAACUGUUUUUUUGGCUCUCAUAGUGCACAUCUUAAUAACUUCAUGCAGGAUUGUUGAAAUUUGUCAAUUAUUGAGUUGAGGACAUUUGCAUGGAAAGUUGGAAAAAUAUCUUCCCCAGCAUUUAUUGUUUCAAUUCUUGCAACUUAUUUUAUAUAUGUUACUGGCUAGGAAUCCCACCAGGGUGCUAUUUUACCUUUCCCUUCCCUCUCUGCGUAUCCUGAUUUAUACAUGUAUCAUUUGUGUAUCCUGAUUUAUACAUUGUUUUCAAUCUUGAUAAAUUGAAAUUUAAUUGAUUAUACAAAGUUACAGACCCUGAACUUUGUUUUAGAUUGUGAAAUCUGAAAUAAGAUUGGCCCUAAUUGCCUGUGGUUUGAAAUCUGAACGAAACCCUGAUUUACAGGAUGAUCUUAUAUGGCGUUACAGUAUGAAUUCUACAUUCUCUAUUCAAAAUCUAAAAUGGAUUUGUUUGUUUUUCUCUAUAGUUGGUAUGGCAUGUUUGUGGCCAUGAUGUCUCUAAAUACAAUUGUUGUAUGGCAAGCUGAAAAAGAAUAUGAUAUGGAUUAUGCCUUGAUGACCAUAAAUUCAAAUUGUAGUAUGAAUUGCUUAUUCAUUAUAUGAAUUAUAGAUGGUACAAUGGAAUUCAGCCGUCGUUUUUGUGUGUAUUCUAUUUUAGAAGUGAGUUUUUUAAUUUGAGCUUGUAGUUUGAUUAAAUUGUUUGUAAAAGGACAAGUGUCAUGAAGCACAGUUUUGAUAGUAGAUAUAUGUGAACCAAUAGUAAAAGUCUUUACUGCAUAUACCAAUGCAGGUUUCUCGAUGGCUUAUCACACAGACUUUUUGAUAACUCAAUGUUUGGCCACUAAUUUUGUAGAACACAUUAUGAUUUCUUAAGUAUUAAAGCUUGAUUAUGGAGAGUGAGGUGAAAUACCUUUUAUGAAGUUAAAAGAGGAAUCAAUUAUUGGAGGCACAAGCAUAAGAGUAAACAAUAUAAGGCCAUAAGGUAUAUAUCUGCUUAAUUUCUUGUAUUUCUUACCAUCCAUGUUUUUUUACAUGUAUGAGUCCCACAGGAAGAUUCAAAGUAUAUUUUUCCAAAGGGUUAAACUAAUUCAUGUGCUAUAUGCUUUUGCUGUAUCUGUCAAAAUGGGUCCACACCUAAGUAUACUAGAUAUAUACUAUGCAUGGAAAGUAGCCCCAAUUCAUUAAUUUAUAUGAAGACAUUACCCCAUCUUGUACGUGGCCAAACCAAAUGGUGGCAGUGAAAUGCCUUCACCUUCCUUUCUCUUCACGUGGCCUCCCUCACACGUAUACAUGUACAUCUAUUUUUUUUAUGUUCCAUUUGCAGCUAAUUGCUACAUUAAUAUUGGUACAUUUUCUUUGUGAAAGUGUAUUCACUCCUUGGAAAAGAGAAGACAAUAAGAAGAAGAAGCUAACUUGGAUAAAGAAGCAGAGAUGUUAGGAACUUUCAAGAAUAACUUCCUUGAUCCACCAAAGGACACUAGAGGUAUCCUUGUUACUUCUGACUUAACCACAACUAAAGUUGGUAUCUACUUGACUAGACACGAUAUUAUUAGAUAAAAACAGUAUAUGACAAAUAUUAUACCUGAAGAGUGAAAUUAGUAUGCAAGUUCUUACACUUUUUAGAGCUUUAAAUAUGUCCCUGUAGUUUCGGAAAACAAUCAACUCGAUCAUCGAAGUUAUUUUUUUAAAACUAUAGAAAGUCAUUCACAAUUUAGACUAUGAAGACUAUUCAAAAUUUACUAAAAACUAUGUGAACCUGUAGACUAGUUUGACCUCUCAAGUAACAUAUAUGAUCAGUGUGCACUGACCCUGACUUGUUAAGGGAGUUGCAGAACUUAACCACAUUGUGGUUGUUGCUUCUAGUGCCUGAAUUCACAGUAUGAGUUGCCAAUGUGUGGCAGAAACUUGCAUAACGCCGCAAACAUGCAAUAAAAUGUGAAGUCAAAUCAAGAAUUGAAUCACAUAAGCUUGAAUAAUUUGGAACACAAUUAAAUUGCAUUUUUUUUACUAAACAAAAUAAGGAAUGAUGGAAUGACACUGGUCAAAAUGUAAAAAAAAGAGACCUGAGUAGUAAGGACAAGUGUCGUUCAUAGCCAUUGAUUCAAAGUCAAUGUUGUUUAAUGUUUCAGCGGUUGCUUGCAAGGUCUCACGCACUGAAGCAGAAGAAUUUAUCAAAAUAGACUCAACUCCAUUCAAAAUCCAAAACCAUCGCUCAAACCUCUUGGAUUUUAACUCUGCAAUCAUACAAAAACCAGUACAUUUAGGCUAAAAAGCAGUACUGCAGAGAGACACUUGCCUGUCCAUGAAUAAUAAUAAACAUAUUCACAGUAAUAGUAGUUUGCAUAAGUGGUUGUCUACCCAUACUAGAAGUACGGUUCCCAAAUACAGGAUGGAGAACAUCCUGCUGUAAAGAUGAUUCCCAGUGUUGCAUUCUCCACCCUUAAAUUGAUUUGGCCUCAUCUGGAUCAUACAAGGACAUGUACUGUCCUACACAAUAAAACCUUAAUUUUUUGCCCAAGAAACAUUUCGCAUAAAUUUUUGAAAUGCAUGUAUUGGCCUAUCACUAUCUAAAAUAUGCAUAAACGAUCAAUCAUCUAGCAAACACAGGUGCAAAAUGCUAAAUCAGAUUAACUUCGUUGAAGAGCUAAGCUACAAUUCAUAGCUAAGUCUACCUUCUAUAAUGUGGUUAGAAGUUCCACCUCAUUCAUACAUGAGGCUAUGAAGCCUUAGCAAGGUUUAGCAAGACAUGUUAGGCAAAUGCCUUACUUGAAAAUUACAUUUACUAUUACUGGAAAACCAACGAUUAAGUACUUACAAUUAAACAUUUAUACUAAAAGGGCAUCCCAAUGUACUAGACUCCCAAAACAAUCAAUUCCUUAUAUCACAACUCUCAGUUUAAUCCAUAAGCAAAAUAGUAAACAAAUGCCAACUUCCUGGGUAUUCAAAAAUAUGCUUGGUAAAAAGCAACAAUAAUUUCUUCUUUUCACCACCAUUUCUGAUACUGUCAUAUCAGCAGGCUCAAUCCUUUAUGCUUCACAAGCCAAACAUGUUCAUCUCCCAGAAGCACAUUCUUUCUCUUUUGUUUCAGUCCAACCCUCAACAUCUUCUUCCUACAUAGUUCAUAUUACCUACACUAGUGGCAUCUCUGUCACUUGGACAACUGUCAAUAGCUAUGAAGCAGUGAUACUUAAACGAAUUAAAAUCAUUGAGUCACAACACUUCCUCAAUAAAGGCUUACUCACUCGGGAAUUCUAACACUUAUGCCAUACUCAGUCAGUAUUGCAGACAUGCAUAAAGAUAAAAGAACUUGGUAGAAUGGGAGCAAACUUCGCCAACAUAGUUAUUCAAACCGAAUUACCUAUAAGUAACUCUUAGGCACACUCAUUGAGUCUAAAGAUAUGUUCUGACUCUAGCUAGGAUAGACAAAGAGACCCUAACAUUUAGCAAGCUCAAACAUCCCAUCAAGGAUUUACAUUUAAGUUUUAUGUAAUAUAAUGAAAAAAGAAUGCAUACUGCAAUUUGCAUUUAGGUUCAUUGAGGGACAAUCAAUAUUGUUAUGAAUACAUAAUUCAUAUAGUAAGAAGAUUCUUGAUGCACAAAAGAAUCAAGUUUAUUAUUGAGCCUAAUUCAUAUUUAAAGGCUCUUGGUAGAGAAAGGGAUCCAAGUUGGUCUCUAUUUCGUAAAGAUAAAUUUUACACCCCUUAGGGAUGAUAAAUCCUAAUAAAUGAUAGAGAUAGUCAUUGCUAACUGAAAAUUUGAAUAAAUAAGAAAUCUAAGGUCUGUAACCUUGAUUGAAAUUUUAAGAUAUAUACUAUUCAAAUCUAGAUCACUAGUGGUCCUCCUCGUUAACCCAUUAACAACAUUAGUCACCCACUGGGUUUAAAAAAUAACCUACACACAACAUAAACAAUUGAAAAACCAAUACUGUUAUGAAUGCACAAUCCAUAUAGCUACUGUAUUUAGGCCCCAAAGCAAUGAUAACAUCUGAAUUUCAUACCACAAUUGUAUUGAAGGCGACCAAAAGCUCGAGUAUACCAUCCCAGUUUUACAUAAUUCAUAUUGAAGUUGUAUUUAUAAUCAGCCAACUGCCAGCUAAUAAGGGUCUCAAAUGAGUUUAAAUUUAGUCACUAAUUUUUCUAAUUUAAUUAGCCAACUGUCAAAUAUAAUCAGCCAACUGUCAAAUAUACCAUGUGAACAGAUACUAAUUUUUCUAUAGGUCGUAUACAUACCUAUAAUUGCUUGUAGAGAAGAUUGUCUUUGAGCCGAUUCUUGUUUUGCUUCUACUUUUUGUCAAACAGGACAUACGAUGUUACAAAAAGGAAUCUUCUUUUUGUUAGUCACUACGUCGGUCCAGCACUAACCAGGACUUCAUUCAUCGAGGUAUAUGGGCCAUUAUUAUUUCCAAACCCCCGCUGUCAAAUUCAUAUCAUGAACCAAGAAUUCAUACUGCAAUUACAUUGAAGACCACCAAUGACUCAAGUAUACCCAAUCUUGCACUAUAAAUUGAGAAUGUUACCUGUAAUUGCAUUUUGGAUCAUUUUGCAAAUUAGGGUCGGAUCUGAAUUAGAAAUCAUAGCCAACUAGGGUCAAAAAAUAUCAUUCAACAUCAUAUUAUGAAUUAAGCAUUCAUCUUGCAAGCAAUGUUCAUUCUCACAAUCCAAAACAACCACCAAUGUUUCUGUAGCCACUUAAAUUUAGAUUCAUCAAGAUUAAAUGUCCUUGAAUGAGAUCAUAAAAGGAUAUCACAAUAAAGAAUUCAUACUACAAGUAUAUAAUCUCAAUCUAACCAUCCAUCCAUAUUCCAGAUUGUAGGCAACAAGAGUCAAACAUACUAGCCUCUUCUCAUAGUGUGUACCAAUAUAAUAAAGGGUCGGAAAGGGCACUCAAAAAAGAAAUCAAAUUAUUUAUCAAUCUUUUUUUAUUAUACUAUUUGUGUGUUUCUUCAUUUGUUCCAAAAAUCAACAGCAACAACAAAACAAAAGAACUCAAAUAUUAAAAAUUAGAGAAAAGAGAGAAAAGAGAGAAAAGUGUGGCACUGAUGAAUGGUUUUGGCCAUGAAUAAAUCUAAUUCAUCUUUCUUGCGUUUCAUUAUGAGCUCAAGUUCAAGAAAAUCCCAUAAUUAUCAGAUACUAAGAAAUUGCCUCAAGAAUUUAGGAAUUCGUGCAGAAGAUUGAAAAUUGAGAGAAUGAGAGAUAGACGUGGCAUCGAUAAUAGAAUCGGAAAUGCCACUAAUAAAUCAAACUCCCUCUCUCUGUAUCAUAUUUUAUUAAUAGCUUAAGCAACAUCAAAUAAUCGCAAGAAAUUGUGAGAAUGUAAAUUUUAGGGUUUCUUGAAGAAGAUUGAAAACAGUGAGAGAAAAGAGAGAUGGGUCUCUUGCAGAAGAUUAAAAUUGAGAGAAAGGAGAAAUGGGUUUCUUUCUUGCAGAAGAUUAAAAUUGAGAGAAAUGAUAAAUGGGUUUCUUUCUUGUAGAAAAUUGAAACUUGACAGAGAAAAGAGACAUGGCUCUCUUGUUCCCUUGAGAGAAGAGAAACAAACCAAUUCUCUCUCUCUCUCUCUCACUGGCUCUCUCACUGGCUCUCUUUCACUCUCUGCUCUCAUGUUUCAUUAAUAACUUAAGAAACAACAUUAACUAAAUCUUAUUAUAUAGCAAUUUAGGAACCACUCACACACUUACCGACAAUGUAUAUUUUUGGACAUUAACCAACAAUGUAAAUUCUUAAUGGGCCUUAAUGAUAAAAUAAAUAAAAGUUCUAAUAGCCCUAAUUUAGAUUUUCCUUUUUUUUAUUCCUCUUGUUAAUACAUAUUUUAUGGUGCUUUUAUUUUUUGUAUUUUUUAUGCCACUUUUAGUCAAAUUUAUUCUUAUGCCAUUUUUAGUCAAAUUCAUUUCUUCUUCUUUCGAUAUUUCAAAAUUUGCCCAUACUUUUAAUUAUCAACUCAAUAAUUUUAUAUAUUCAUAAACAAAUGUUUGAAUAAAAUUAAAACAAUUAUGCAUAAUGCAUAAUAUCAAGUAUUAAUUAAGAAAUUGAGUCUAUAAUCAUUUUAACUAUUUGAAAAAACUCUCAAAAUUUAUUUUACCUUAAACCUUCAUUUAGUUGAGUAGAGAAAUAGAAGAAAAACGUUGAGGGUAGAGAAGUGUUGAGAAGAAGUAGAGUGAGAAGAGUUAAACAAUUUGAAAUGACAAAUAUAACAUCAAAGCCAUGUUAUUAUUAUUUUUAUAUUCUUUUUGUUUUAAGAGUAUUUUCAUAUUUUUAAACAUAUCAGUUUUCUAUAUUCUCACUUUAUAUUCAACCAAGUGAGAGAGAUGGGGAAGAAAAUAUGUCUUUCUCAUUUCUUUCUUUUUCAUUUCAUUCAUACUAAACAAUAUAAAAAUAUACUCUCUUUCUCACAUUUUCUUUUUCUCUUUAUCCUCUCUCACCUCUUUCUCUCAUCACUUUAUUCUCUCAACCAAAAAACAUAAAUAUUAGUCAAACCUAAUUUUAAUUAACUUAAUAUGGUGCAUUUUAUUGCUUUUAAAAUCGACUUAAUAUUAAAUAUUUUUAUAUUUACUUAAAUGGUAUAUAUGUAAAUAUUGUGUGUAACAUUUAAAUAGAUAUAUAUACAUGGUGAAAAAAUUGAAAAAUUAAUGACAUACCAAAUAAUGUAGGUUAAUAUCUUAAAAUGAUAGCUAGAACAAUUAAAAGCAUUAUUAAAAACAACAUUAUAUUAAUAGAUAAAUUGUUAAAAUCAUGUACUAAUUUAAUGAUUUAAUGAAAUUUCAUUAUUUUGUACGACAUAGAACAAACAUGUCUAACUAGUGUGCAAAAGUCUAUUAAAGUUGAUAUGAUUAAAUAAUAAUAAUUAUUCUCUUGCAGAUAAUUAUGGAGAACUAUUUUUUAAACUUUAAUACAAUUCACAAUUAUAAUAAAAGAUUUAUUCCUUUCUAGUUUCUACAUUGGAAACUUGAAGUUGAAAACAUUUGCCACCUAGUUGGGUUUUAAUUUGUGAAAUUGAAAACUCUAACACUCUUUCUUUCAUAUAAAAAGAUUGGCAAUAUGUAAAUGUGAUAACGUCAAUAGAUUAGAAAAUUAAUUAGAUACACUAGUGUUUUUUUUAGUGUCCUUGUUAUGCAUGAACACCUCAAAAAAAAAAAAAAAGCAGUAGGGUUGUGAUUACUUUUAUUCAUUAACUAAGCUAACCAAAUAUACAUAUCAUAUGGUGUAAUUAUCAUAAAUGUUGUCAAACAAAUAUAUUUAAAAUGGAUAAAUGGUUUUCAGCUCAUGUAAAAAAUUAUUGAGUUUUAUCAUAUUCAAAUAAUAUAUGAAUCUAGAGGAGAAAACAUAUUUACUUUCUUUUUGUACUAUUGGAAAAGUUACAUUUAAGCAACAUUCAAGUCAAUAGGAUUUUAGGUACAUGUUGUGUUACAUAUGUGGGCUUCAUCAAAAUAGUAUUUAUAAAAAAAUUAAUAAAAUUUGACACCUCGUGCAUAUGGAUCAAAAAAGUAUAAACUUUCAUUGGGAAAAAAUAAAUUUAAAAAAUUAUGCAUUUAAAUUUUAAAUGUAGCCACUUGUUUUUUUGUUUUAAAAAUUACAAUACCAUCUAAUAAUAUUAUUUGAUAUAUCCUCUUAUAACAUAUGAAACAUGACAUAUAUCUAAAAGUAUUACUUUCUUUGCUCAAUAAUAAUUGAUUUAUAGAUUAAUUGUUUUGAAACAUAUUUCAUUCUUCUUUUGGUUUGUAAGGGUUAAGAUUAGAAAACUCAAAAUUAACAUUAUAUAUUAUUUGCUAACGAAUCUAUAAUAAAAAAUAAAUGUUAAUUGUGGUUGUUUUCAAAUAUUCUUAUAAAUGUUAUAUGAAUAUUUGAAAUUAUUUAAAUGUUAUAAUUAAUUAAUUAUAUCAAAAUAUUAAUAAUCUAUUUCAUACUGAUUAAAAAUUUUAAUUUAAAGCUAUAAAUUCAAAGAUCAAAAAGUUUGUGUGAUGAGAAUAUACUUAAAAAAUUAGUUAGAGGGAUACUUAAAAAAGCAACAUAAAACAUGUACCAGGAAUAACUUUAAAGAAGAUUAUAAAUUAGUACCGUUAGAAUUUUAAUAUUUUUUAAUUAACAAGGCCCAUUAAGGAGAUUUGAUUUAUAAGCAGAAGAUUUGAUUUAUUAGAAGAUUUGAUUUAUAUAAGCAGAAGAUUUGAUUUAUAUAAGCAGAAGAUUUGAUUUAUAAGGUAGGUGCUUAAUUUACUAUAUAAUGAGUUCAUGACAUCUUCGUUCAAUGUUGCUAUAUCCAGACCCAGCGAGCGAGAGCGAGAGAGACAUAUGCGAGCGAGAGAGGUAAUGGUAUGUUUUCAGUCUCCUGCAAGAAACUUGUUUCUCUUUUCUCUCACUUCUCUAUCUACUGCAUGAAAUCCUAAAACCUUGAUGUAAUUUCCUAAUCGGUGGUGAUGGUAAUGGUAUGUUUCUUGAAAUUAUUCCACGUUUCUCUUCAUCAUCACGUUCAUCUUAUUUCUAUUUAAUACUCCAUUUUGAACAGAUGUUUACAUCGAAGAAAGAAGAUGCUGAAAUCGAAAAAGUAAUUCGACUUCCUGCAAAUCGAAGAUGCAUCAACUGCAAUGUCUUGGUAACAUUUUCUGUGUUCAUCAACCUCAACUUACCCUAGAAUUUGUGAAAUAUACAUAAUUUUGUUUAAAUUGAAUCAGGGACCAUAAUAUGUGUGUACAACUUUCAACACCUUUGUCUGCAUAAAUUGCAGUGGAAUACAGUAUGCAUUACAAAUCUCAACUUCUUCUAUAUAUGUUUUAUAUGCAUUACAAAGUGACAUUGUUUUACUACAAGGUUUUAGCAAUAGACUCCUCUUUUCUUUUGUUUUUGUCAAUUUCUGUCACUAAUCGUAAUUGAUGAUAGUUACAUCGUCACGUUUUUUCCUUCUAAUUUCUCUCAGUUUUCGAUCUCAUCCAAGAAAACCUGUCUCUCUUUUCUCUCAGUUCUCUAUCUAGUGCAUGAAAUCCUAAAAUCUUGAUGUAAUUUCUUACUAUGUGAUCGCAAUGGUAUGUUUCUUGAAAUUAUCUAUGAAAGAGAGAGGUUUUUGUAGUGUUUCCAAUCCUUUUCUCUCUCAAUUUUCAUUAUUCUACAUGAAUUCCUAAUUCUUGAGGCAAUUUCUUUGUAUCUGAUAAUGACGUGAUUUUCUUGAUUGUCAGCUGAUAACGAAAUGCGAGAAAGAGAUAGAUUUUAAAUUAUUCAUGCCUUCCAGACUCUUUAUUAUUGCCACACCUUUCUUUUCUCUUAAUUGAUAUUUUUGCAACGAAUCAAGAAACACACAAAUGUUAUAAUCAAGAAACACACGAAUAUUAUAAUCAAGAAACACAUGAAUAGUAUAAUCACGAAACACACAAAUAGUAUAAUCAAGAAACACACGAAUAGUAUAAUCAAGAAACACACGGAUAGUAUAAUCAAGAAAGAUUGAUUUAUUUUUUGAGUGCUCUUUCCCACUCUUUAUAAUUGGUACACAUAAUGAAAAGAGAUUAGUAUGAUUGACCGUUGUUGCCUAAAAUCUGGAAUAUGGAUGAGUUACACCCUAUAAGAUGAUCUUAUUGUGUGGAAAUAUUGUCUUCUAUUGAAAUUUCGGUGCUUAGUCUAUUUAUCUGGUUCAGCUUAAUAGAAUUUUAAUAUUCCUACCCAGAAAUUAUCCCAAGUUAUAAAAAUCUAUGCAAGUUGAACAAAGGCUUGAAAUUUUCAGCUGAACUUAUUACUAUUAUUUUUUGCUUGUGUUCACAUGGCUGUGCAAGGCUAUUUCUCUUGGUGUUUGCAAUAUGGUAUGUAAUGCAGACUGUAGAGCAUAAAAAUUGCUUUCCAGAACUACUAUGAGUUGUGGCUGCUUUGAAGCCUCAACUUUGAAGAAGAAAAGGAGUAAUUCUCUUACUCCUAAUGAAAUAGAUGGUGAGAGCCUGGUGAUUACUUAUUUUCAUAUUUAAUAGCCUUCAUUAUCGCUAGAAGUUUAAACAUACAAACAUGUGAAAUUUUUCAAAAGUUGUAUUCUUUAGUAGAUUUGGGGUAUUAAAUUAUUGUUUUGCUAGGUGUCAUCUGCUAGUGUUAUUGUGUCAUAGGAUAGUUUUCAUGUGCAGUAGUGUUGCAUCUCUUGAGACAUUAUAUAAUUUUGCCUUCUUUCAAUGUGUUCUUAUUAUAUCAAUCUGCUGCUUUUAAGUGUAAGCAAUUAAUAUGGAAAUUCACCUUGCUUUAAUACGAAGAGGAAGACAGUCCCCGUACAGUUGUAACUCUCAAACUAUAAUUAUGUUCAUUUAGUUUAUACAUGAGGGAAAACUGAAAACACAAUCUCAGUGCAAGAGACACCCUUUAGGAUUUUGUUAGUUUCUUUGUUCUUUGAUAAGCAAUGCUGCUGAGAUAUGUUCAUAAGAGUUAUGAUGUAUAAAUUUUAAUUAGCAAUACUUUUUAACUACAAUUUUCUUCAUAUUUAUCAUGAUACUUAAUGUCGUGUACUCUUUUUUAACACAUCUAUUCUUUGUUGUUCAAGAUACCCAUUUGAUAAUGUUAGGCAUUUCUCGAUAAAGAAUUGAGAUUGGCCACUGACAAUUACAAUAUGAGCAAUAAGAUUGGGCGAGGAGGUUUUGGAACUGUUUUCCGGGUACACCUCACAGUUCUUGUAUAAGUUGUAAACUUUUGGGAUUAAUAUGUAUGUUAGCCAGUUGAACUUGCCAAAAUGAUUCGUUAGAGGAGUUUAUGAUAGUAGACCGACUAAUAUUUGUAUUUUUAUUUUUGUUCCUAUCUUUCUCUGAUUCUGAGUUAAGAUUGUAUUCAGGGUUUUGGGAGAUGUUUUUCUGAUUUAGGUGCAGGGAAUGCUUCAAUUUUAUAAAACUUUAGCACUAACAACAUAAAUCCUUCCAUCCUUUUGUAUGAGAUAAAUUCUAAAACGAAAAUUUGUUCGCCUCCACUUUAUACCCCCUCCCCACACCGAGUCAUAUUCCUUUCGGACAACAUAAAAGUUGGUGGGCUAUAAAAGUUGAAAUGACAAUGGUAGGCAAAGCAGGGACACCCACCCCACUUGUUACACCAACUUUUCUAUUCUUCUUUUGCAUAUCAGUAACUUCUUUACCAUAAAGUUGAGCAAAAAAUAAAAAAAGUGAUCCCUUUGAUUUCUCUGCCAUGUUAAUAUCUUUUACAUCUUCAGGUUUGGUCUUCAAUUUAUAUUGGAAUUUUGGUUUCUCUCUCUAGUAUUUUCUAUAGGAAAAUUCAGCGUAACAAACAAAAUAGGAAUGAUAGGUAGGUUGAACUAUAAGAGGAGAUCAUGACUUGAGUGAGAUUUACUGGAGACAUAGAAAGGAAGAUGAAGAGUUGGAAUGGUCCCAUAAUUCCACUCGCUUAAUAUCUCAGUUAGCUCAAUGUUUUAGUGAGUACAUUUUUCUCUUGAAGCUUCUUUGCAUUCUUGUAAGUUUUGUCUCUUUCUUAAAUGAAUAUCAUAAUUGAUUUGUGUUUUGCAUGAAUGAGAAAAUGCAACUGUCCCAGUUGAAUACUUAAAUUGGCAGAUCAUGUUGUUAGGAUCUAUCAAACAGAGAAAAACAUGCUUUUUUGUUUGCUUAGUCCUAUCCAGGAUUCACUUCUUGCUUUUCUACGACAGUCUUAAAGGAAUGCUCCUUCUGCUUCAAGUAUUAGAAAACACAACACAAAUAAUAGUUUGCAGAAUGUAUUGGAGGAACUUCCAUUUAUAAUUCAAGUUUUAUUUACUUGCUGAUCCAUAAUUUGUUUCAUGUAGCUAAUGCGAUGGUUGGAUCACGAUCAUGGAUUGGAGGACUCUUUAACUGUACAAACACUAGAUGAUAAUCAUCUGAAAAGUUUGUGGACUAUCCUUUGAGCCCUGUUGAGGUAAAGGAAAAAUGGAAGUUGCUGAUUUUUAUAGAAUAUUAUAAACUCUUACCUUCUUAUUGAACCCUGAUUAUAUGAUCUUCUAUAUCCUAUCAAUGUAAAUAAAAACAGGUAUUAUGUCAUGAUAUGUUUGUUUUUCCUUGUGUCGGACAAUAGUUGAAAAGACUUAGCAUUUGUUUUAAUCAAUGGAGCUAUUUAAUUAUAGUAAUUAAUAGGAAACCAUAAUCUGCAAUUAUGCAUCCUAGUACGUGUCUGACUGUUAUCACAGACUCAUUGAACAUGUUUUAGGUUUAUGUCAGGAAGAGAAACUUCAAAGGCUUCAAGAAUAGCUGCAAGUACCUUAUGAUGAGACUCGCUCUGAUCAUCAAAUACUUAUUUUUUCAUGCAGCUAUCUUGCUUUCUUCUUUAUUUAAUUUCUCCGAAUUCUUUCUCAGUACGCGUUUGGAAAAUACAAGCUUCAUCUCUGGUUCAUUUUUGGGUUUUAUUGAAACCACAUUUUGCUAACAACGUAGUUAAAUUCCAACAGGAAGCACUGAGAACUUUGUGGCACUGUUCCUUUCCUAAUUUUUAUUUUUCUACAAUACUAUUUGACAUAUUGACGAUGCAAACUAUUUCAUGGCUCCAGGAGGUUCUACAAGCAACGCGAAUGCAACUGGAUAGAGAGCUAUCCUUAGAAGACAUCAACGCAAUACCAGACCUCCCUGCUUAUAAUCUACUGUACAAAUAGUUUUACUCUUCCUCUGCUGUUUAUAACCAACAAAUUUCAAGUAAGACAAUUUUUAACUUUGUAAGCUUUGUAGACAAUUCCAUUACAAUGUUUAUUCUCAUUGAACUGUGUUCUGCCUCUUCUGAAUGAGUUUGUAUUAUAUGUCACACCUUCAAAGUUUUUAUAGCUUACAUGUGGUAAAUGAGCCAAUGGUAUUGAAAGGACAUUUUAAGAUGCAUUUUGAAAUUUCACUUGGAGUUUUUCUAAAACCAGAGAAUUGAGAAACCAUCUUCAAGUUCAAAAGGAAAUUAGAAAUAAAAAAUUAAUUACAUUAGAGUCUGUGAUAAUGAUAAGGUUGGAAGGAGCAUUUUCUAUAAAAUAAAAAAUAGGUACAUUUACACUCACCUCUUUUGUUCUCCCUAGUGGUUUUUGAGUCUUUGGGUAACACAAACUCUAAACUUUCAUGAUGUACCUUCUUCAUUUUCUGUUAACUUUAGUGAAGAUACUGAUUAUGAUUAUAAGAAGUAUUUAACAACACAAGUAUUUCCCAUUAGUUGGGGUGUUACAUGAUCAAACAAAGUUGUUGUGCUGUAUCAAAUUGAAAUCUUAAAAUAUGUUGCUUUAAAUUCUUUUAAUGGUUUGUGCAGUUUUACAUUAUCAACUCUUGUUAAGGAUACUUCUAUUUAUCUUGUUUUUUAUGUUGCCAGGAAGUUAAAGAGUGAUGAGAACCAAUGAAGUGAAGUUCCUAUAAGCUCAAUGAGAGUUUUAUAAGUAAUUAGUUAAAAUAAAAAUGCUAAUUACUUAGAGUAGCACUGGAACUCUAAGAAGAAAGAAGUAAAGAUUUCUUUUUAUUGUUAGGUAAAAAUUUAUACACAAUAUUUAAUGCAUAUGGGUUGGUUCCAUAUGAGGUUGAGAGAUGAACAAACAAGUAAUGAGAUUCAUAUCAAAAGGCACACUGCAUUCGUCAUAGCCAGCAUCAUCUUCUUCUCCGGUCUCCGUAGUGAGGCGCGUGCAUACUGUAAUGAACAAAAAGUCCAUCCCCUUCCUCUGUAGAAUGAGCCAGUCUUUGCAGUGCAACACUUAUGUUCUUUCCCGUAGGCUGUGUAAGACUCAUCGAUAUCGAUCAAAACGGCGAUGUCGUCUUCAGAGAAAUUGUAUCUAUCGAUAAGGCAAAUACAUGCAUCUUUCACACACUGUUUAUGCAUCCUAUCAAAACUGAUUUUCUCGCCAUUGCAGCACUACACUAAUUUCUUUGUUUUGUUUUUUUCCGUGUUUUUUCUUUCUAAGGUUAAACUCUCUAAAUAGUUGACCAAGCAAAAUGUGCAUCAGGUUAGUUUUUUUGUUGGUAUCCUUUCAUUCUUUUAUUACUAUUUAUUCUUUCUAAAGUAAUUUAAAUUACUUUAUCAUUUUUAUUAUUUCUUUUGAAAAGUCAAUAAUGAUCAAAUAUAAAUUGGGACGAUACAUUAACAAUAUAUAAAAUUCAUAUACUAUAAAUUAAUAUGUUUUUCUCUUUAUAUUAUUUAUAUUUAAAAGUUAAACCUAACUGAAUAUGAAUCAUAAUAUUAUGACAAUAUAUAUAUAAUUUUUAUUCUAUCCAUACAUUUUAUGUUUUCUUUUUCUGUUACAUGUUGUUGUUUGUUUCAGACUUAUGAUUUAUUAAAAUCUAAUAUGUAUGCACCAUUAUGUUAAAUAAUAUAAAUAAUAAUAUUAUUGACUAAUAAAAUUAAUUGUAAGAAUGAUCUAUUAGGAUUUAAUACAUAUUUAUCGAUAGUGUAAGUAUCUUAUGAUCUAUUAGGAGAUUCCAUCUUUGGUGGCAGUUCUCGUGAUAAAGCAACAAGAAUAGGAAUAGGAAUAUGAAGUUGUUGGUUUUCACAUAAAUUGUCGUGAUUGUUACUCACAUAUGUUUUUGUUGUAUGUUUGAGAGUAUAGUGUCUCUUGCUCAAAGGUAUCUUCCCUUUACUCUCAGGAAACCUACCAAAGAUUUCUUAAAGGCAGUGGAUGGAAUAACUUUGAAGGAUAUUAUUCACUUUAUCAAAAGCUCAUUUCCUCCCCUCUUACAAUGGGAUCAUAUAGAGAUGGUAUUUUUUCAAAAGAAUUUUCCUUAACUAUUUUUGUAUCUUCUCUAAUAUUAAUUUUUUCAAUUCAUUUUCAGCAGUCAUAUAUGUCCCAAGCUAUGACUCAGUGAGCUGCAAGUUCAGUUCAAAAUGAGGUUGUUUUUAAUGUGUGGAUGAAAGGUGUAAAAUCAAGUUAAAAUGAGGUUGUUUUCAAUAAAUUGGUGAUUAUGCGCAAGCAGCAUAUGCAUAGUUCAUUAUUUUUGGGUACAUAAUCGUUGAAUUGAGUGAGUUUUCACAGGUAUGUAUGUAUUGAUGUUGGGCUAAGCUCUAACUUCUGGAUUAAUUUUGGAUCACUUGAUGUCCUUGUAGGCUGGACUAGUACACAGGAAUAGUACCCCAGAAAAGCUAAGCUCUAACUUCUGGAUUAGUGGAAUGCUCUUUGGAAUUAGCUGGUGCUCCCUUCAUUGAAUUUCUCUUGAGAAGAAAUUAAUAGCAUUUUUGUUGAUUUUUGACAGCCUCUGUUUAUUAAUUAGCGUUAUUGGACAUGCAAGUGUCUAUCUACGGUACUACCUUUUAGCCUAAACUUACUGAUUGCAGAGUCAAAACUAAAGAAGUUUGUGUGAUGGUUCUGGAUUUUGAAUGGAGUUCAAUUUGUUUUGAUAAAUUCUUCUACUUUAGUGCAUGUGCCUGGGCAAGCAUCCACUGAAACAUUAAUUAGCGUUGACUCUGAAUCGAUGGCUAUGAACAGCACUUGUUCUUAUUAUUCAGGUCUGCUUUUGGUACAGUUUGACAAGUGUCAUUCUGUCAUUUUAAUUGUGUUUCAAAUUAUGCAGGCUUUUGUUGAUUCAGUUCUUGACUUGGCUUCACAUUUUAUUGCAUAUUAGUGGCGUUAUGCAAGUUUCUGCUGCACAUUGGCAACUCAUACUAUGAACUCAGGCACUGGAAGCAACAACUGCAAUGUGGUUACCAGUCCUUCCCGAAGUCCUGCAACAAGUCAGGGUCAGUGCAUACUGAUCAGGUAUGUUCCUUGAGAGGUCAAAUUAGUCUACAGGUUCAUUUUUAGGAACUUUUAAAUAGUCUUCAUAGUCUAAAUUGUAAUGGGUUUCUAUAAUUUAAAAAAAUAAUUUCAAGGAUCCAGUUGCCUAUAGUUUAAAAUCUGAAUGAGACCCUGAUUUACUGGAUGAUCUUAUACGAAGUUAUAGUAUGAAUUCUGCAUUCUCUAUUCAUAACCUAAAAUGGAAUGGUUUAGUUUCUUAAGUGUAAUUCUAGUAUUAAUUUUUUUAUUCAUAUUAUAAAUUGGUAUGGUAUAUUUGUGGCCAUGAUUUCCUGUGGCCAUGAUUUCCCUAAAUACAAUUGUUCAUAGGAUAUGGAUUAUGCCUUGAUGACCCGAAUUGCAAAUUGCAGUAUGAAUUUUUUAUUCAUUAUAUGAAUUAUAGAUGGAAUAUUUGAGUUUCUAAAUGCAAUUGUAAUAAGAGAUGUGUAUUGAUAAUGUAAAGCAGUAUGGUAUGCUUGAACUGUAUGACCAUAAAUGUGAAGUGGAUGCCAUAUGCCAUGCUUUAUGAGCAUAAUUGCCUUGAUAAAUGCAAAUGCCAACAGUAGUUCUUUAUUCAUACUGUAAAUUCAGAAUGGCUGUGGAUUAUCAUACUGACUUUAUCGUAGUAUACAUUAUGAUUUCUCUAGUAUUGUAGUUUGAUUAUGGAGAGUGAGAUGUAACAUUUUUGUUGGAAUUAAGGAAGAGGAUUUGGUUAUCGUUGUUGUUUAUAAUUCUUUUCAUAUAUGCAGAUUAUGCUAACAAUAAAGGUGCAGGCCAGUGCACGAGGCCCCCACCACCAUUGAGGUUUGUGGAGGGUUGAUAUGCUGCCUUACCCUAAUAAUAAUAACUAUUAUUACUUAAAUGUUACAUAAAUGUUAUUGGAAAUUCUGGCAUAUGUUCUCAUUGUUCUUGGUAAAUAUUAGGAUUAGUUUUGUAUUUGACUUUGAGGAUGCUAUUUUUAAUAAAUGAUAUAUGUAUGAUACAUUAAGCUCAUUUCAAAAUGGGGUUGUUUACUUGGAUGAAUAACUUCCAUGACAUUCCUCUUUUUAAGCCUUGUGGCUUAUAUUCUCUUCAUUUCUACUGAGGAAAUGUGAACUUGUUUAUGCUCGUAUUAUUUAUAAUUUUCGUCAGGAUAUAUAUUUCUUCUCAUUUACUCAAUAGUAGUCUCUAUUUUUUUCUCCUACCUGUGUUUGAGCCAUAUCAACUGUUUACUUGUUAAUAUGUUAUUAAAAAAAAUUCUGAUCCUUAAGAAAACAAUAUUUUGUAUAAGGCUAGUUCAUUUAUUGUUGAACAUGUUUGAUUCAAUUAUUUGUGAAUGCAAGAGUGAGUGUGAAUUUAUAUUCAGAAGCAUCUCUUUUUGCUAGUUAAAGAAACUACAGAAUGAUUUCUUCAUGUACUUCUCGCAUAUAUUGUAGGUAGAUCGAGGAGUUGUUCAUACUCUAUUUAUCCACUUACUAUUUGCUUAAGGAUGCUUUCAAAUUUCAAAUGCAGGUUGAUGAAGAUGAGAUUUACUGGAGACAUAGAAAGGAAAGAUGGAGUUGGAAUGCUCCCACUCGCAUAAUAUCUCACUUAGCUCAAUGUUUUCGUGAGUACAUUUUUCUCUUCAAGCUUCUUUGCAUUAUUGUAAGUUUCGUCUUAGUUGAUUUUUGCUUUGAGUGAACGAGAAAAUGCAACUGUUCGAGCCAAAUACUUAAAAUAGCAGAUUUUCAUGCUUACAUUAGGGCAUUUUCCGUUUAAUUGUGGUGAAACUUAUCAAUGAGGACUGAGUUGGGAGGUAGCACUCUGGCCGUUUAAUUUUGGGAGAAUCUUUUUGUAAUUUCAAGCCUAUGUAUGAUAAUGAAGUUUCCUUUCUAUUUAACUUUAUUUUUUUGGGUAAGCCUAUGAGCAUUGAGAAGUGUGAGGGUUUGAUCAUGUUGUUUGGGCCUAUCAAAUGGAGAAAAACAUGUUUUUGUUUGUUCGUCCUAUCCAGGAUUCAUUUCUUGCCAGACAAUAGUUGAAAAGACUUAUCAUUUGUUUCAAGCGGUGCAGCUAUUUAAUUAUAGUAAUUAAUAAGAAACCGUAAUCUGCAAUUAUGCAUCCUAGUAUGUGUCUCACUGUUAUCACAGACUCAGUGAACAUGUUUCACGUUUAUUCAGGAAGAGAAACUUCAAAGGCUUCAAGAACAGCUGCAAGUACCUUAUGAUGAGACUAGCUCUGAUCAUCAAGUACUUAUUUUUUUCAUGCAGCUAUCUAGCUUUCUUAUUUAUUUAAUUUCUCUGAAUUCUUCCUCAGGACGCGUUUAGAAAAUUCAAUUCAUGAGUAGAGUAGAAUUCUUCCCAUUCAGAUUGUUUUAAGCUGGUAAUCAAAAUUACUUUCAAAAUUCUAGAAUUUUCCUGAGGCAUUUUCUUUUGUUUAGGGCGAUAAUGAUAUUUUCCUUAAACUAUGAUGAUGUUGGAAAGUUCUUUCAUUUAUGGUUGCAAUUUCUGUUUUUGGUAUGGUUAAUGACGUUCUUCACUUGAUUUUUACAAAGGUUUAAGCUCGAGAGAAAGAGAGGCAGAAAGAUAUGAUUUCUUUAUGCCAUUUCCGACCCUUUGUUAGUGAAAUGUCUCUCUUCUCUCUAGUUUUUCAUUCUUUGAAGUUAUUUAUAAUUCAUUUAUUAGACAGGAGUGGUAACUAUCAAAUUAUCCCAAAACCCUAAAAACCAAUUUUAUCAAGAUCACUUGGUUGCUUUUGUUAACCAUGUUAUUUCACUUGGUUUUUUCAAUGGUUGAAACUCUAGAUAGAGACAUAGAGGGAAAGUGAUUUCUUUAUGUCUUUCCCCCACCCUUUAUCACUGACACAUCUGCCUUCUUUCUUUCCCUGCAUUUUCAAUCUUUGUAUUUCUUUAUAAUUGAUGUAAGUAAAAAUGUUGUAUUUUUUGAGCCUAGAAAGACUAUCCCAAAAUCCCAAAAGUAUAUUGUGGCAACUAUUUCAUUCAUUUGUGUCGGUAAUGACAUUUUCCUAAUCCCAAUCUUGUUUAUUCAAGAAUGUUUGAUCUCGAUGAACUGAGAUUUUCAUUGGCUUUAUAAACCCAAGAGUUUGAUAUGGGCUGCGAAAACUGCAUAGUCCUUGCAAUAUGAAUUCUAGUUGCCUAUAAUUUGUAAAUCAGGAAGAGGCCCCGAUUUGUCGGAUCAAUAUGAAAUUCUUUAUUCACAAUGUAACAUCAGGAUGCUAGAAAAAUAAAGUUGAGCCUUUAGUUUCUUUAUGGUUACAUUAUCAUUGUUGAUUAGUGGAUGGGGUCUAAUAUAAUAUUGAACUAUCAUUUUCAGUGGAAAGUGACACGUUGAGAACUGUUAGGUUGGGAUUAGACUAUUUGUUUUCAAGUUGAGUUUGGAGUCCCCAUGCAUAAUGCCCCUUCCUUGAUUGUUCUAUUAUAUUAUCAUUAUGCGAUUUUUUAGGUGAUAAAUUAAAGAAACACAUUUUUAAAUAUAUAUUUUCUUUUGUUUUAUGUUAAAUAAAUAUAAAUGUAAAGAUGAAAAGAUAUUAUGCUUGCUUUGAGCCAUUAAAAUGUAAUUCUUACUGGAUCGACCUUCAAUUUUCCCUUUUACAUAAUUUUUUAACGUGUCAUUUGUUAGAUUAUGUGUUGCCAAACCUUGUGCUUAGGAGACUGUUGCUUAUGUAACAUAAGAGAAGAAUGUAGGUGACUCUGAUAAGCUAUAGUACCUUAGAUCAAUGCAAUUGUUAGUUGAAGGUAAUGCAUACAUUGCCUGGACCUCACUUUAUAUUUUUACAAGGUAUGUUCUAAAACCCUGGUUUGUGAUAAUUUUUUGGAUGGGCCGCAGCCAAUGGUUCAGGACAUUUUUACUUGUUUAUAGUGCAAUAAUACGUUAAAAUUGUGAGUUAUUCAAAAUCAACUAUGAAAAUGUUUUUGGACCAUUGGCCUAGUAAGUAGUAACAUCCAAUUUUCUCCUACAUUGGUUUAGUAUGGCUGUCAAAUCUCCAACCAUGACUUAUUUUAAAAGAUUAUAUUGCCAUUAUGUUGGGUUAUUCCCCAAAGCUUUAUUUAGCAUACAUGUUGGGGUAUACCCCAAAGCUUUAUUUAGCAUAUAAAUACUUUUUUUUAAACUGUUUCAGUACUCUUUCAAAUAUUGGAGCAUUGAGCAAUUUGAUGGCAGUCUCUUAUGGGCAGUAGUGUUUGGAAUCGGAGAAGAGUUCAAUACUAUUUUAUUUCAAAUAUGCUUAGGAUUAUUAACGAUCAUUUAGAAUCUGUCUCUCAAGUCAUUAGUUUUAGUAUUGUGUUGAGGGUGAGUGUUUGGAAUUGCAAAUGAAUAAUUUCUGAUUUGAAUUGUUCUUGUUGGUUUUAUUUCAGUUCUCCUCUUAUUAUCACACUUCCAACGUUGAGAGGGUUUUUGGUCCCCGUUUAUAACUUUUUCCCAUUGAUAGGUGCGAUGUUUUUGGGCUAUUUCUAUGUAUUAAGUUUAUAGCGCAAGCAAGAAUUGCUUUGUCCGAGGAAGAGAUUUGACAUUCUGUCUGUAAUGCAAAUUUUGGACUUUUUUGAAUUCAUUUGGAUAAGACAGAAUAAUCUUCUAGCUUCUUAGCAAUAAAUGAACUCACCUAAAGUGGCUUUUGAAUUGUUUUCGGCACUAGGUUGGGGUAUGUUAAAUAGUCCUUUAUACUCCACAUUGUAACUAUUACCAUAUCGUGGGUGCUUAUUUUAUAUCCUUUUUCCCAUGAUGCAGUUCGGGAAUAAAAGAAUUAUGGAAGGCCCUCUCUUUGAUUUUUGUAGGCCAGAGCCCUCCCAAGAACCAAUGGUGGUAACACCACCAUUGGAUAUGAAACAGGCUGAGUCAUCACAGCAGCAUGUGAGAGCCUUAAAUACCCAGUUUGCAAGGUCCAUAUUUUUAUUUUAUAUCAAUGAAUAUGCUUUUAAUUGAUUUGUGCAUUUCAAUUUGUCUUAUAUUGAUAUUUUCAAUGGAGGAUGACCUCUUUCAAGAGCAGAAACUGCCACAUGGUCUCAUAAAAGCAAUAAAGUUGGAUGUCUUAAAUGAGGCAGAUAUAGUUAAGUAUAUUCUUCUUUGUAUAUCUAUAUCAGCUUUGCAAUUAGUUAAGUUCAUUGUUUCUACAGCAAUGGAAUUAUAUCAAAUGGCAUGCACUCACUGUGUAACACUUAAUCGAAGAACAGUGUGUGGCUUUAAAAGCACAUCCAGUGUGUAUGUCAAUUAUAAAUCUCUCCUGACCGCCUUGUAAUUUAUUAACCAUAUAUUGGAUGUUAAUUAGUUUCACCUCUACAGGAUAAAAUGGCUGCUUUGGAGAUAAAUCUUCCGAGUGAAGGUGUGGAUGGAGUGCACAACAUGCGGUGGUAAAUCUUCAGAUAAAAAUUCUUGUGAAGGUGUGGAUGGAGAUUUUAUAUGGAAAAUGUAUUUAUAGGAUUAUAUGAUCAUUGCGAAUUUACAAGAAAAGAUGCUGAAAUACUAAUAUUUUAAUUUCAGGUCAUUACGGAGUAACCAAAUUUCCUUUUGUCAUACUCCAUCCAUAUUUUAUGUCAGAGAUUGCAAAAAUCUUGAACAAAAUUUGCCCUGGAUGUAAAUCUAUUCGACGAGAAUUACAGAACAAGGUAACACAUCAUAUAGUUAUAUGUUAUUUAUGAGCCAUAUGGCCCACUGUUGGAAGAGAAAGAUUUGUGCGGAGACAUAUAUGUGUAGAUACAACCAAUAAAAUCUUCACAACACAUGACAAAAAUUAAUUCUAGUUAAAAUUUAUUCCUAAAUGAUAAUACCAACAAACAUAAAUGCACUUAUCUCUAAAUAUGAUGUGCUGUAUACGUUUCCAUACAAGUUUUUCUCAUGUUGGAAAGAGUUUCAUAUUUUACACGAACCAUAUGGUGCCAAAUAUUUAUUAUUAUUAUAUAUAUAUAUAUAUAUUAAGUGGAAACCUUUACUUACUAGAAUGAUAUGCAAUGAUAUUCUUUAUUGCUAGCGUGAACGGCUUUAUAUUGACAAUGGAUCAAAUGUUAACUCUCAUUUUUUAUAUGUUAAAUUAUUUUUCAAAGCAUAUUAAUUGAAACAGUUUAAAUUUGUUCUACUCUCUGUGUAAAACUUGACAUUUUCUGCAACCAAAAUGGUGUUACAUCUAUUAGGUUGGAGACUUGGAGUAACUAUGGAUUUUCUCUUAGUUAAGGUUUUAAACUUUUUCUUUCAUCAGGGGCAGCAUGUCACCCAUAUUUUGUUUAGAACUCUUUUCAUUGAAUGUGAAUCAGAAGUAAAUUCGAACUAGAACAGGAGCAAGUUUUUUUAUCAGGAAAACAAUUAUUUCUAAUUUUAAUGUAUGCCUGAUCUUGUGCUUUCUUCUUUUCCCUCUAUAGAACUAUUCCUCUCAACUCCCAAUAUUUAUGCCUGCCAAAAUUGAGGUAAAAUGAUGGAACUAAGAAUUAAAAUGGAGUUAAAAAAUAGUUUUGCUCUGUUCCUUUAUAAGUUAAAUCCCAAACAAGAGUUGGGUUCUAUUCAUUCCAUUCCCUGGUUUGUAUGCAAGGGAAAGGUAGCUUUGCCCAUCUAAAAUUUUCUGUUCUGUUCCAUUAAUAAAAUUAAAAUCUAAACAGAGUGUAAAAAGUAAUCCGAUAACUAGUUGUUUAGAGUUUGCUUAAAGUACACAACUACACUGACAUGAAAAGAAUGUAGACCUUCCCUCAUUAAAGUUUAUUUUGUUUUGGAAUUUGGCAAAUAAGAAAUUGAUAAAGGUGGUUCUGUAAUACUCCCUCUGUCCCCUUAUGGAGUAUAACUGUUUAACUUAAGUCAUUUAUGACAUUCAGAAACGGAUACGAUAAGAGAAGACUUGUAUUGAAAAUUUAUAUUCACUAGUAUAAGGGACGUCCUUUUAUAUUAACCAAACUCGUGAUACUUGUAAAAAAAUACUCGUUUUCUUAUCACCAUUGUGUUUUUGGGUUUACUCAAACCAUUUAAUGGAGUCUGAUUACAAUGUUAUACAAUAAGCAGGCCCUAACUAUAUGAUGAAAUUACUAAUCUCAUGGAAUCCAUUUAGUAAAACACUUGAAGGCACGCAUUGAAAGGAGGGGUGACCAUUUUCAUAUGGUAUGUCUUUGUCAAACCUUUUCACCACAAUGGUCUAUUCAGGGUAUAUAUAUCCUAUUGUUGCUAAGUUCUGCUAGAGUUGUUUUUAGCUUUGAUUUUAUGUUAACUGUGUACAUAAGGAAACAAAUGUAGAUGAGAACCUUGUAAUCAAUUUUGUAUGCAUAUUGUAACAUAUUAUUGGAAUUCAUAUCUGGCUUCUUCAUAAGGGGACAAGUGACUGAAGAAAGCAAAACCGCAAAAUAGCAGCGCAGGGAUGUUUUUUGUAGGAAAGUUUCAGAUAUCUGCCUGGCACCUAUUACAGGUUAGAUUUCUAUAGAUUGUUAGAUUUCUUGUCUUAUUCGCACAUGUGGGAAUUGGGAUGAAUGUCGAAUAUUAUAGUCAUCCUUUAUGAGCUAGAUCUCUAGGAAAGAGGAAAAUGGAAUUUAUCGUUAGCUGCAUGGGAACACAGAAAACCUAUUUGUCAAUUAAUUCUGUGGUCGGCAUGAAGCUGGCGAUGGUAACCGGGAAAUGCAAAUGUUUAUGUCAUAACAUACUCUAUUUCUGUAAUUUGGCGUGUGCUCUCUUACCGUGAUGAGAGAAAAAGAAAUUGUUAGUAUAAUCACGUUAUGUCUUGAGAGUUGAGAUGCUAUAAAUUAGAAAUUGAAGGGUCUGUUUUGUUCCAAAGUCUUCUUUAAAAUUGAUACAAUGUUAGGUGUGAAGGCAUGUGAUUUUUUACUUUAAGACAUAAGCAAGGUUAGGUGUUGAUAUUUUUUUCCCAACUUCUUUAUUUGAAACUUAUAUUUCACAUCUUUCAUCCACAAAUCACAACUAGUAUGUUAUGAAUGUAAUAUCAUCCAUGUAUUGUAUGAUUAAAUACAAAUGAUAGAUGAUGCAAUAAUAGUAUAUAAAAUUACUACGAAUACAUUUUUUCUAAUACUUUAAUUUAUAUCUACAUUUAUUCUAAUACUUUAGUUUACAGCGUUCAAGUUAAAUAUAAAAGUUAUUAAAUAUUGAAAGAAAAAACAUUUCCAGAUUAUUAUUAUUUGAUUGUAUCCUUACUAAUUCAAAUCAUCGUAAAAAGAAAGAAAAAACUCAUUCAAAAUGAGAAAUAAUUUGCCUACUGAGAAUAUUGUUAAAAGAAAAUGUUUAGAAUCUAAAGAUUCAAACUCAAAAUAUGUUUGUUGUGGUCAGCAACAGAUUGAAUAGGUGAAUGAUAAGCCGAUAAGCUAUAAUGGGAUGUUACACUUUUUAAUCCUGUAUGCAUUGAAACAACAAGAACAAAGAAGUGCCAAGUUAAUAAUCCCCAUUUUAUUUUCAGCAAAAAGGAUAGUAGUAUAGUAUAACAAAGUGGGUACAAAAUGUAGUGGUAGCUUGGCCCUUGUGGGUGGGGCUGCCAAUAAUGUAAGUUUUUUUUGUUACAAGGCAGAUAGUGAUAGUAAAGUUGUGAUGAUAAUAUAACACUGAAGUUGAUAAAAUAAUAUUGCAUUAAAUAAUUUGGUGGAAAUUAUACACUUCUCUCUGUUUAAUUUAACAAUGAUUAGUACACCUCUUCAAAAAAUACUUAAUUUCAUUUGGUAACUCUGCUGUACCUAAUUGUAGUUCUUAGGCAAUUAGUUUUUUGGAGUUUUUGCCUAACAUGAAUGUCCUUGCUCAGGCUUCAUAGCCUCAUGUGUCAAUGAGGUGGUUUUUCUAAUCACAUUAUAGAAGGUAGACUUAGGUAUGCAUUAUAGCUUAGCUCUUCAACAAAGUUAAUGUUACUGAUUUAGCAGUUAGUACCAAUGUUUGCUAUAUGGUUGAUCAUUUAUGCCCCUUUACACCUUUUCUCGGCUUCUGUACUGCAAAGAUUUUGUUUGUGUCCUAUGCUUAUUUUUCUGAUAAUUUGUAUAUUCAGGGACCAACUAAUAUAAUCCGUGAUACUACCUGCUUACGAAGCGGCUAUCCGGGGUGUCUCUGGUACAUGGUUUACUAGUCUCCUACUGGUGCCAUGUUCAAGUUUUUCUUUACAUUGUUUAUAAAGUCUUGUAGUGAUACUCCCCCUAUCUCUCCCCUUGUCUAUGAUUCUAUAUUCAAUCAUAGUCUUUAGAUGUUCACAUCUGCGUAUUAUCAUUCUUGAGUAACAUGGAUCAUAGUUUCAAAUUGUUAUACUAUGUAGAUCCUUUUUUGCCAAAAAGAUCUUAAGCAUUGACUUAAGAAUAUCAAUAUGUUUCUUUUUUCCCACAUUGUCUUUGCUUGUCCUCAAGCACCUAGAAUAACUACUGAUGUGCAAAAGGUUUCUGUGUCUGGUUCCUAAUAAGUCAUAAAGGGUCAAUUCUGAUCCAUUCUUCCAAGUGAUGUUAGUACAGUUGCUCGAUGUUCUCUGCUCAUGGUGGUGAAACUGCUGUAUUUUUUCUUCAGGGUGAAAUUCACAUCUUUUCUGGUUCGAAUUUUGCGCCAGUUGAGAACUAUUAGAUUAAUGUUGGAUCUGGAAUUGUUGCCCCUGCAUUUUCUUCAACAAAUUGUCUAUUCAGUUUCUGUAUGGUAUGACUCUAGUAAGGAUCAUACUACAUUGAAAAUAAUCCGGGUUUUUUCCCCUACUAUUCCUAGUAGUCAAGUAAAAGCCAAUCUUUGGUAGUGUGCAAUUGCUAUCACUUAUCCUUUUAACAUUCUUAUAAAUUUAAAGCUUCUGAUUUUUUCAACUGUGCAGUUGUGAUUUGUUUAGUUUAUCUGGUUUGCAUGAAAUGGUAAUAUAUGUAACAAAAACAGAUUUUGGUGGAGCCUUUUGGUUGGAAUUGAUUGGUGGGGUGCACCCAGAGUGCUGCUGAGGAUAGUAUUGAUAUGGAAGUUUUUGGUAUCGUCUUUUUCCUAUUUCUGUUUUCAUCAAGUAUUCUCAUGGGAUUGAUUUAUUGUAACAUGUUUAAAAUUAUAUAAGGAUUAAUCUUUUUAAAGAUAUAUAUAUAUAUAUAUAUAUAUAUAUUGUGUAAUAAUUUUAUAAAGUCAAUGUUCUUAACUUAUUAAAGCAAGUAAAUGGAAUGUGAAAGGAGAUUCAAAUCUCAUUUAAUGUGAAAUAUAAUUCAAAAACAAAUAGACCAAUCAAUUAUUAAAAUAUACAAUGUGGGAAGGUAUAUAGAAAUAACAUGGACAUGUUUUGGAGGAAAAUAUUGGUUGUGGGAGUGAUAUAUGCUAUGAGGAACAUUUUUUCUUAUAUAUGUGAUAGACUAUUGAGGGGUCUCAUUCCUUUUCUGAACUGUGAUGAUAGUACAUUUUUUCUUAUAUAUGUAAUAGACUAUAUUAUUAGGCAUAAGCAUUGUGUUUAUUGAUUCUCCUUGCAGAACAAUAUAAACUUUCAUUCGGGAGAAGAAUAAUAUAAACUUCAUUGCUUUUUAAGCUUAAACAUACUUGGAGAUGGAAGGAUAAAAUGCCCAAGAGGUUGUUGUUGGAUAUGUGCUAAUGCUUGGGAAAGGAGUUGAGUGUACUUUGAUAAAUUCUUCACCCUGACAAGCAUUCUCGCGGAAACAUUAAGCAACAUUGACUAUGAAUCAAUGGCUAUGAGCAUGUAUGUCACUUGUCCUUACUAUUCAGGUCUACUUUUGUUAGAGUUUGACUAGUAUCAUUCCUUAUUUUGUCCCCUCCAUUAAAUUUAUGAUGGUCAUUAAUGUUUAUUUAUACAUAAUAUACUAGAGAACAUAUUAGGUGAGAAUUAUUGGGUACUGUAACUGAGAGAUUAGAUCUUGAUUAUUGUUUUUUAUUUAGAUGACUAAGAUUGAAAGAUAAAUAAACAAUUAUAUAUGUUGAAAUAAUUUGAAGAUAAAUGUUUAUAAUGAAAGUUGUCAAACAAAGAUGUUUAAAAUGGGCAAAUGUUUUUCAGCUCUUUUUUGACAAAAUUAUUGAAUCUUGAUUAUUGUUUCUUAUGAUGGUCAUUAAUGUUUAUUUAUACAUAAUACACUAGAGAACAUAUUAGGUGAGAAUUCUUGGUUAUUGUAACUGAGAGAUUAGAUCUUGAUUAUUGACUAAGAUUGAAAGAUAAAUAAACAAUUAUAUAUGUUGAAAUAAUUUGAAGAUAAACCUUUAUAAUAAAAGUUUUCAAACAAAGAUAUUUAAAAUGGGCAAAUGUUUUUCAGCUCUUUUUGACAAAAUUAUUGAAUCUUCUAAAAUUGAAAGAAUAUAUGAAUAUGGAGGAGUAAACAUUUUUAUGGUCAUUAGCUUUGUUUUCCUUUUGUACUAUUUAAGAAAAAUUAUAUUGAGGCAUCAUAAGUUAAGAAGAUUUCCGGUAUAUGUGCGCUUCAUGGUACCUUGUGCAUAUGGAUUAUAAUUUAUUUAAUAAAAAUAUGUGGGCUUAAUUUAUUUUCACAAAAGUUUAUAUAUUAGAAAACUAUUUUUAUUAAAAAUUUAUUUAUCACUUGUUAUCAUCAUAUAUUAAUGUUCUGAUAUUAUUAGAACCGUAAUUUCUUAAAUAUUCUAAUUACUUAAUUUUAAAAAAAUAAUAAUGAAUGUGUUUGAUAUGUUAAUUAAAAAUUUAAUUUAAAGUUAUAAAGAACAAAUGUUUACAUAUUUUAAAAAUUAAAAUGUAAUAAUAUUUAUAACUCCUAAGUUAAAGUUCAUUGAGAAUUCUUUUAGAAUUAAUGUUAUGAUCCAUAAUUAAUUUUAAUUUUAUUGAAAUAUUUUUUUAUAAAUAUAUAUUAUUACUAAAUUAAUUAUUAAAAGUUGGUAAUUGAAAGAAGGGAAAAUCAAAUUGACUAAAAGUGCUGCAAGAAUGCAAAAAAAUAAAAUAUGUAUUAACAAGGCCCAUUAAGGCCCACUAAGUAGAUUUUAUUUACAGUGUCGGUGUUUAGUUUGCUAUAUAAAGACAAGAUCAUUGGAUGUUUCAUAAGUUCUUUGAGAAAUAUGCCAGAGAGGGAGAGAGAGAACGUGAGAGAGGGAGAGAGAAAGCGAGACAUACAGUAAGAGUGGUAUGAAAUUGAACAUGAAUAUGCGAGAGUGCGAGAAAGAGAGAACGUGAGAGAGAGAGAGAAAGCGACACAGAAAGAGAUUUAUAUGAGGAAUCACAGGAAGUUGAGAUCAUAUUCCUUUGCACUCGCAAGAGAGGUAUGAAAUUGAACAUGAAUAAAAGAGAAUGAUGCAUACUGUUUAGUGUUGGAUAUGCAUGCGAGAGAGGGUGAGUGACAGAAUCAAUUUCCAAUCUUCUUCAUAAAUUACUAUAACUCAUGAUAAUGUGAGUUUGUUGAAUUUCAGCUCAUAAUAUGCGAUUUUCUUCAACUUCAACUCAUUAUAAUGUGAUUUUCUUGAACUUCAACCGAUAAUUAUGUGAUUUUCUUGAACUUCAACUCAUAAAUGUGAUUUUCUUGAACUUCAGCGGAUAGUUAUGUGAUUUUCUUGUACUUCAGCUCAUAGUGUUGCGAUUUUCUUGAACUUCAGCUGAUAAUGAUGUGGUUUUCUUGAACUUAAGCUGAUAAUGAUGUGAUUUUGUACGCAUGAAAUUGAGUCAUACUGUUUCGUGUCGGAUAUGCAUGCGAGAGAGGGUGAGAGAAUCAAUUUCCAACCCCUUCUAUCUCUCUUUUCUAUCUCAAUUUCCAAUCUUAUUCAUGAAUUACUACUUAUCUCAAUUUCCAAUCUUCAUGAAUUACUACACUUAUUGAGCCAACUUCUUAGUAUCUCAGUGAUGUGAUUUUCUUGAAUUUCACCUCAUAAUAUUGCCAUUUUCUUGAACUUCAACUCAUAAUAAUGUGAUUUUCUUGAACUUCAACUCCUAAUUAUGUGAUUUUCUUGAACUUCAGCGGAUAAUGAUGUCAUUUUCUUGAACUUCAGCUGAUAAUGAUGUGGUUUUCUUGAAUCUGAACUGAUAGUCAUGUGAUUUUCUUGAACUUAAGCUAUGUUAUUUUCAUGAACCUCAACUGAUAAUGAUGUGUGUUUCUUGAACUUCAGCGGAUAAUGAUGUCAUUUAUUUAUGACUUUCUUGAACUCCUAAAUGAUAUUGUAACAUGAAUUCUUUAUUCACAAUGGAUAGAUGGUUGGAUCGAAAUUAUAUACUUGUAGUAUGAAUUCUUUAUUCAUAAUUUGUAAAUGGAUGAUAUGCUUUUAUGAUCUCUCAUUCAAAUGCAUUUGAUCUUGAUGAAUCUGAAUUUUAGUGGCUGUUUUGGAUUGUGAGGAUGAGGUAUUGCAUGCAAGAUGAAUGAUUGUGAGGAUGAAUCUUGAUGCUAUGUUUGACCCUAGUUGCUUAUAAUUUUGAAUUCAGAUGGACCCUAAUUUUAAAAAUUACCCGAAAUGCAAUUACAAUUUAAAUCCUCAAUUCAUAGUGUUAAAUCCUUAACAUCUGAGGUUUGUGUGAUAACAUCUUUAGUGCCUGAGCCCGUGCAAGGAUCCACUGAAACAUUAAUUAGCGUUGACUCUGAAUCAAUGGCUAUGAACAACCUUUGUCCUUACUGUUCAGGUCUGCUUUUUUUUCAGUUUGACAAGUGUCAUUUGGUCAUUUUAAUUGUGUUUCAAAUUAUGCAGGCUUAUGUUGAUUUGUUUGCACUUGCAAGAGAGAUAUGAAAUUGAACAUGAAUAAAUGAGAAUGAUGCAUACUGUUUUGGAUAUGCAUGCCACACUCAAACUCCUCAAUCAGGGACUCCACAACCUGUCAUGGCAAUUUCCAACCCUUUCUAUCUCAAUUUCCAAUCUUCUUCAUAAAUUACUAUUACUCGUGAUAAUGUGAUUUUGUUGAAUUUCAGCUCAUAUCCUCCCCUCUUACAAUGGAAUCAUAUAGAGAUGGUAUUUUUUCAAAAGAAUUCUCCUUAACGGUUUUUGUAUCUUCUCUAAUGUUAAUUUUUUCAAUUCAUUGUCAGCAGUCAUAUAUGUCCCAAGCUAUGACUCAGUGAGCUGCAAGUUCAGUUCAAAAUGAGGUUGUUACAUGUGUGGAUGAAAGGUGUAAAAUUAAGUUAAAAUAUGGAAUUCUCAGUAUAUUAUUGCAGUUGUGUAUAAAAUGUUGUCAGUGUAAACUGUCUAAUUGGGAUCACUGUAAACACACUUUGACCUUCUAAUUGGUGGAAGAAAAAGGCAUAUGGUUUUGCCCCCUUUGUGGCUAUUCAUUAUUUCACUCGAGUCAUACAUUUCUUGCAGGAUGGAAGAUUUGUCACAUCCAGGUUCUUGAUGAAUUAGAAGUCUGUAUUUGUACAUGUUAUAUUGUAUUGUGCUCAACUUGCUCAAGAGCAUAGCAAGUUAAAUCUAAAGGUGCCCUGAAUUUUGUCUUCUAUGCUAUACUUGUGGUCUGAUUUUAAAUUUGAAUUGGGACAUUCAUUUAUCUGUUGUGAUUUUAAAUUUAAAUAUGGUUGUAUGGGAAAAAAUAGGGAAUCCAAAUUCUGUUCUAGCUCAAGAAGAACAUACAGUGUUAGCAUUAAAUACUAGUUAUUUGUAUCACAUUAUGAAUUUAUGAUAUGUAUUCCAUGCAGAUGGUAGUAUAUGGAAUUAGAAGGUUCUAUAAUAUUGUAUAGUAAUGAUAUGAUCUACUAUUUUUAAUGUGCUGUCAAAUUAGUUUCUGUGUCAUUUUUGUAUAUCAGGGACUCUGAGGAACAGUUCUUCUUAACUGGAAACUCUUAUUAUUUUCUAUGAAGGGGCAAGAGUUAUCUUAAAAGCUUUGAGUGAUAGGAUAUGAAGGCUUUGAGUGAUAGGAUAUGAAGGCUUUGAGUGAUAGGAUAUGAAGGCUUUGAGUGAUAGGAUAUGAUCUCAUAGACACUGUAAACUUUCUAAAUGUAUUUACUUGGUGUCCACUAAGUUAGUAGUAAUUAUAGAUGUUAAGUUAUCAAAGUUCCUCUAUAUGAUGUUUUGUAAUUCACAUUAGAGAAUAGACCAAUCUUAGAAUAAUUGAUGUCUUUAAUUUGUUUUUUAAUUAUGUUCUGAUUGAAAAUUAAAACUAACAAGUGCUUGGAGACAUGAGUUUCUGAAGAACUGCUUGUUUCCUUCAGUAUAUAAGGUGCUUAUUGUCUGUAAUGGUACUUUUCAGUCUUCUUUAUUUUACUAGUGCACGACUGAAUAUUUUUAUGCUUGAAUAUUUAUUUUUUGUGAAAGGAAGUUUAGGUAAGUUGGGUCUAUGCAAGAAUGUUUUUUACCUGAUCUCACAGAUAAGAUGCUUGUGGAAACAAUAAUUUUCUUGGUGUAUGCAGAGAAAUGCGAUGCUUUCCCCUAAAUUCUUGCCUCUGGAUGUAAGUGAUUUUUUUCUUAGGAUUUCUUCAAUAAGGGGAGAUAUGAGCUAUUAACACACUCACAAUUAAUAGAUUUCUUCUUAGUAAUAGAUGCAUUUACACAAAUUUGAAACACCUUAAGGUUUUCAUAUCUUUGCUUGUGAAAAUAAAUAGGCUGCUUUCAAUGCAAUUGUGGUAUGUAAUUCAGAUGUUAUGCUUUGGGGGGACUAUGAUGUGCCUAAAUGCAACAGCUAUAUGGAUUGACCCUCGAUAAAUCUAAAUGUAAAUUGCAGUAAGCAUUCUUUUUUCAUUAUAUUACAUAAAGCUUGAAUGUAUAUUCUUGUUGGAAUGUUUGAGCUGGCAAAAUGCAAUUGUUUCCUAAUGUAGUAAUUAGAAUUACAUGCUUUUAAGACUUAUAUGAUCCCUAAAUGCAGUAUGAGUUCUUUGUAAAUGAUAUAAAAAGUGGAUGGAGUGUUGGUAUAUGUUGUGCCUUGAUGAUCCUAACUGCAAAUGUCAAAUGCUAUAUUGAUUCUUUAAGCAUAAUGUAAAUCUAGGAUAGUCGUGGUUUACCUUAACGCGUUGUCAAAUAAUGUGACUUUCUUUAUUUGUAAUGUAAAUUUUGGAUUGUGGUUUUUUGGCCUUUAUAACCUAAAGGCAAUGGCAGCAUGAAUCUCUUCAUAAUCUAAAUUCUGGAUGGGUUUGAGCCUAGAUGUCCUUAAAUGCCACUAUAAUAUAAAAAUGUUUAUUUAUGAUGUAAAAUAAGCAUGUUAUUUUUAGCAUAUAUUACCUUAAAAGCAUUUGUAAUAUGAUAUCUUGUUUCAGAAUGAUUGGAGGUGUGAACUCUUUAUGACCCUAGAUGCCACUGAGGUGUGAACUCUUGUUUCAGAAUGAGUGGAUGCCACUAGUGUAGGCAAUAUCAGCUAUGGAGGAAGGAGAUUCUUGGGGUCAGACUGCAACAAAAGAGAAAGAAUGUGCUUCUGGGAGAGGAACAUGUCUGGCUUUGAAGCAUAAAGGAUUAAGCCUGUUGAGAUGGCAGUAUCUGAAACGAUGGUGAAAAGAAAGAACAUAUUACUGCGUUUCACCAAGCAUCUUUUUGAAUACCUGGGAUGUUGGAAUUUGUUUAUUCUUUUGCCUAUGUGGAUUAAACUGACAGUUGUUAUAUAAGGAAUCGAUUGUUUUGGGAGUCUCUUGCACUGUGGGCUGCCCUUUAAUAUAAAGGUAUAAUUGCAAGUACUUUAUCGUUGGUUUUCUAGUGGAUAGUAAAUUUAAUUGUUAAGUAUGGCAUUUGCCUAACAUGAAUGGCUUGAUAAACCUUGCUCAGGUUUCAUAGCCUCACUUAAUCAAUUAGGUGGUUUUUCCAAUCACAUUAUAGAAGGUAGACUUAGCUAGGCAUUAAAAGCUUGGCUCUUCAAUGAAGUUAAUAUAAUUGGUUUGGCAGUCAACACCCGUCUUUUCUAUAUGGUUGAUCAUUUAUGCGACCUUUAAUCUUUCCUGGCUUUUCUAUUGCAAACAUUAUUUAGGGUUUUCUAUUUGGUUUCACACCUCCAAUCAUUUAUGCUAUCUUUAUCAGAUUUUUGGGUUAAGAAUUAUUUUUUGAAUUAUGGUUCGAAGAGAAUGGCCCUUUUGUCAGCUGAGUUAAUUAGAAUGACCUGUUUUCUUUGAUUGCAUGGUCCAGAAAGUGUGUUGUUAGAGUCACUGAUACAUUAUAGGCUCGUUUGUGUCAUGUUUGUUGAGAACUUUUAGGUGGCAGAGAAGGAUUGAUGUAUUUGGACUAGGCUUCACUGAUUCUGUACAUACCUAUCGAUAUUUUCCCUUCUUUCCUCACCAAAUAAAUCCAUUUUAGCAAGCAUAUAAGUAGGUUAGCACAUUUUGUUCCACUUUCAAGUCAUCUGUGAGGAUUACUGUCUUUUUUGUAAUAAUGCUUUACUAUUGCAUGUGAUUGCUCUCUGCAGGUGCUAAGUAAUCCGGAAAAGACUCCCCUUCACACUUUCAUUUGCAACUAUGAUUUGAGUGACAUGCCAGCUGGUACCAAAGUAAGUUUUGUCUGUCUGGAUAAAUCUCUACCUCAAUUGAUUUGGGCAUUUUGCUUCUUAAUGGCAUGAUUGUUUUGAUACGGCUGACUUUAGCUCUAAAUGUUGGCUGGCCAUAUAUGAAAGAAGUAAAUUAAAAGACUAGAAUCCAGUACAUGAUUUACUUGUAAAUUGAUUAUUACAUUCAUGAGAUGGUGAGAUCAAACAACCAUAAGCAGGGCAGGGCAGUGCACGAAGAUCAUACCUAGUGGGGUCAGGGGAGUGUUGAUCUUCAAGCAUCUCUCUAGAAUCAAUGGAUUCUAGGUUGAGUAGAGCUGUUUCUUUAUUGCUAAGAAUUUAGGAAGAUUACAAAAGUAGAAUUGUUAGAAUACAAUGGAUCCCACGAUUCUCUUCUCUGGUUCCACAUCCAGAAACUUCCCAACUAAUUUUCCAUCCCUUUAUUGAAUUUUCUAACUAACUAAGGGUAUUAUUGACAAAACUACCACAUGACUACUUUUCUUUUGCCUCUUUUAUAUACAUUUGUAAUACAUGGCCUUGGCCUACCCUUAUCAAGGGUAGAUAUUUUAUUUUUUUGAAAAGUGGUUUUAAGUAAAAGUUAUUUUUAUUUUUUUAAAAAAACGACCAUACAAUUGCCAGGCUGUGUUAUUGGGUUUCAAUUUGGUUUCCCAUGUUGGGUUGCUUUUGCUGCUUGGAUUUUCAACUGUGCUUAAUGGUGCUAUUUUGUUGUUGUUUCUCAAUUUUUAAGUGAGAUUGUAUCUUGGCAAAAGGAGGAAGCUUAAGAGUGUCGGUGAUGAGAGUGAGAAUAACAGUGUCGGUAACAAAAAUGGAACACCCUCAUAUUAGGUUUUUAACUUGAGGCAUGUUUGAUCUGGUGGCGAAAACUUUGCUGGGGUCAAACAUAUCUUUCAUGUGAAGAAGCUGUUGUAAGUGGUUUCCACGUUUAUAAAGUAUAUUCAACAAUUUGUAAUACGGUUCCAAACACUCAUGGUUAAAAUUUCUAUUUGGGUACAAAAUGUUCUAACAUUUGACACUAUCUGAAUUUCUACUAUGAUAUCUGAUUUCAAAGAUCGCGAGAGAUCGAGAGAGAGAGAGAGAGAGAGAGAGAGAGAGUGCGAGAGAGAGAGAGAGAGAGAGAGUGCGAGAGAGAGAGAGAGAUUAAGCAUUAUGGAUUUAUUUAUGCCAUUCUUCCUACCCUCUCUCGCAUGCAUGUCCAACUUGUGGUUCUGUUACAGAUUAAAUUAUGUUUUGCUGUCUCAAUAUCGAAUGUUGUACCCCAAAAAUGGUUGAUGAAUUUUUGUAAGGUGUUUUUAGUUGAGCACUUGCACUAACUUACUAAUAAUACACAACUUGAUCCUAGUAAAUAAUAUAUAUAUGUGUGUGUGUAUAUAUAUAUGCCAAGCAUUGCAAUAAUGAAAUGAAUUCGAACUAGUAUAAUAAGUUAACUGAAAUAAUGUUAUCUUUGAUACCCAAAACUGGAGUGUGUGGUUGGAUUGUGUCCCCAUGAUGCAGAUAAUGAAGAACAUAAAGGAAACAAGGAAAUGGUCAAUUUUCAGCAUCAUUCUUCCUACCAAUGCCGAUAAUUUUAGAUCUUGAGAGAACAGACAAAUGGCAGUAUAACUUUAGCUCUAUAAUUCUAAUCUAAAAGAAUACUUUCAGGUUUUAUACCACAUUGGACAAUGCAGUUCCGACAGUCAUCAUGAAGAGGCAUGUUAAGCACUUAAGGUAAUUUUGAAAUGAUAUUCUAAUUCCGCAACACCCUUGACCAUUCCAUUUUCAUGUAUUCAUAUAUUAUGAAUACAUGAAAGUGUACAUAUUAACUUUUCCAUUUUGACUUUCAUACUAAGUUGUUGAGGAGUAAAAUUUGGCAACUUCUAUGGUCAUGAUAUUUUCACAGAUUUUAUUUUAUGUUCUGAUUAUAAUAUGGGUAAUUGGGUGUAGUACAUUAUAGUGAAAGUUCAUUCUUUAAGUUGAAUCACGGUGAUGGACUAUAUUUCAAGUUAUGACUCUAUAUGAUCCAUCUUAGUUAUAUUAUAGUUUCCCCCCUACUUAGUUUAUGGGCUUCUGAUUCUUUAAAUCAUUGUUUGCAGAGGUGUGCUAUUUGGUGCAUAACACAUUUGGUUGAAGCCUAAUGCUAAUAUAAUUAAUGAAACGUUCCUGUUUUUGCAAUUUGUUAUAUAGGAUAGAGUCAUUGACUUGAUUUAUCUUAUACAAUCUCUAAUUUCAUAUGAACUCCACCAAGGAGGGUAGAUUAGUCCAAUCUCGAGAGGUAGACGAAACCAUUAGUGAGUAUUAAGUAAAGGGUUUAUGAUAAGACAUUAUGGUGUUGGUCAAUAUAGCUGACCCUAUUUAGUGGAAAAAUACUUGUUGCUUUUGUUUUUGCUUAUUUCAUGGAUUGUUUCAGGGGUGCACUUGUGCCGUGCUAGACAUGCAGAAUGAGUUUGAGGAUUUAUUAUAUUUUCUGUUUUGUCUCUUGCUGUUGUUCUGGCUAGAUUCUCUGGAAACUGUUAUAGAGUUCUAGUAUACCUUUUAUUGCUAUGAUUGAUUUUUUGGUCAAUAGGCUUUGGUUAAAGGAAGUAGGUUUAUUCUUUUACUAAUUCAUGAAUCCAAUACUUAAGUAUAUAUAGUUGAAAAGGGUUUAUUUCUUUCUUUCUUAUUCACCCAAUUGGUUGUAUUAUUGAGUAUUGACCAUUGGAUUCUGAAUUCAGAUUCAUCAUACUAAAACGAAUUCUGCCAAUUUUGCAGGGUUAAGGGUUUUUAGCGAGAGUAAUGAAACAUUGGUUUGACAAUAAGUAGUCACAGAAUUAAGUAUCACUGGUGUCUGGUGUUACAGAUAUUCACAAACACAAAUAAAUCAAUUGUAAGAUUAGUUUGUGUGACUCAUUCAUCUUCAAAUAUGAUCUAUUCUUGAUUUAGAUAUUUGGUAUUUAUGUUUUGAUUCAAGUGUUGGUAAGAAUAGUUGCUAAAACUUAUGCUAAAAUUUGAAUUUCAAUAAAUUGUUUUUUAGUCAUAAACACAUCAAUUUUUCCUCUCCGGAACUAUUCACUUGUACUGUGAGAUGGAUUUCCUGUAUCUAAUAGAGUUUUAUAGUUGUGCCACUGCCUCCCAAGGCAUGUCUGUAGUUCUAUUUUAAUCUAAUCAUGUAGCUAAUUUGUUCCUACUUAUUUAUUUUCACAAUUGUUGUUCAAUCUUCAGUAAUUUUGAUAUGAACUUAUUGACAGUGACCAACUAUAUAUCAGUGCAACAGCAUGGAACAUUUUAAACAUGUAACAAUCAAGGAGGAGCACUCAUUUCUAUCAUCAAUGGUGUUGAUUUUCGAGCUAUUGGCUAACAUAAUACUCUUGGUGACAAGGCCUUUAUCUCUGCUUAAACUGGCAUACUUGAUUGGGAUCAGAACUGCGUUAAUUGUCACUUAUGCUUGGAUAUCUUCCAUUUAAACAUAAUAUUGGGAACUAUAAUAACAUGGACGUUUGGGCUUAUAUCUCUACCUGCAAGAGUUGUGAAUACCUUUCAAAGGGAGAGGCAGGCUAGUUUUCAUUCGAUAACUAUAUCAUAUUCCCUAAAUGAUAAGAUGACUGAUUUGCAUCACAGGUUUUUAUCUGCAUAAUACAUUUCAUUUUCCCCUAAGUUGUAUAUGGAUCAUGAUGGGUAGAAUUUUGUCACUGAUGAAAAUUUUAGUACAAAGUACAUGUAAGCUCUUUUUUUAAGGGUGGGGACUGGGGAUGUUGGUGCUUUUAGACUUAAUUUCCCUCUAUCCUUUGUGGACUCCUCCCAUUAUUCUUAUCCAUAAGCACAACAUUUAUUUUAAUGCAGAAUAAGCUAGAGAGUCUAAUAUGGGAUCAGAAGGAANNNNNNNNNNNNNNNNNNNNNNNNNNNNNNNNNNNNNNNNNNNNNNNNNNNNNNNNNNNNNNNNNNNNNNNNNNNNNNNNNNNNNNNNNNNNNNNNNNNNCAUUCUUGUAAGUUUCAUCUUUUUUUCAAACCUAGAAUCACUUACAAACCUCUAAACCACAAAAUAUAUUCUUUUUUUGUUUUAAAAAAAACUCAAACGGUGUGAAUGAUUCAAAUCUAAUUCAUGAAAGG
rnacentral:lncRNA from 1 species